rnacentral:lncRNA from 1 species
GGAGACGCAACCUGGCACCCGAUGGUGACUGUCAACUGGGAGACGCACCUCUGAUCCAUAAAGAUGACUACUCCGGAGCUCAUCGUUCAAGAGGAGCGACCUACCUUUCGAACCAAACGAAUGUGAGUAAUGAUCUGGAUCUCUUGUUAGAGACAACAAUAGACAAUCGUCACACUUUGACUCCAACUACCUGUAUGCUAGUCAAACAUUCAAAUCUCUAAUUAGAAUGUCACCAAGUUUGCUAUUGUUAUAGUCCAUACAUUCAUAGGGUUCUAUAAUCCAGCAUUCUAUUUGUUCAUAUAUUUCAUCGGUGAUAAAGCAUUUGCAUAAUCAAAAUAUCACUUAACAUAAUAACGAAACCCUAUAAUGCAUGGAUACAAAUGUAAGAUAUGCUACAAUAAAUUAGCAUAGACAUAAAAGCGAUUCAAAGAUUCGGAUAGCACCACCCACUGCCUGUAGUGGUGUCAGAACUAGAAUCCACUCUCGCACUGCUGUGCCAACACGAAUACAGCGACUCAAUGCAAUUAGAGCGAAUUGGCUCUACUGUAAGUAUGCGUCGCCGAGCUGUCGGAUAUGUCAAUGUUAGACUUUCGAGGCAAGUUUAACCUUUCAUUUAUAAAGAAUAAAAAGAUUAAACUUAUGUUAUAGCCCUAUUUCUAACAAACUGCAUUCACUUAACAUACAUAUAUAUAGUAUAUGUGUUAUAGGCCUUCUAUACAUAUACUCUCUUAUUUCCAUUCUUUUACCCAGUCAUUUUAUUAUUCAAUCAGCGAACUUCAACCUUAUUAAUGUCAUUUCUAUUUCAACACUAAGCCUAAUACAUUCAUACGUAUAUACAAUGUACAUGAUACAUUUAUAUGUACAACUUGUUCACCAUUCCACCACCUAUAUUAUACUAGAACGUUUCAACAUAACUACUUUCAACCCAAACUAGCCACUUGACAUCAACUAGAGCAUUCUCUGGAUGCAUUACAGUCAAUAAGACAUUAGCAACUUAGAAAUUCUAAGUUAGACAUUUGCUCUAGGUUCGUCACAUGGCACUUAGAGGCUAACAAUGCAAUAAUCUAAUCAUUCAAACUCUUCUAAUUUAAACACAAUAACAUUAAAUAGAAAUAGGGAUCACCUAUUUUCAAGGUUUUUAUCCCUAUUCCAUGAAUUCACGCUAUAUACGAUACACAUAUAGCUCUUAUAGUUUAAUCCCAUGGUUAUAUCACACUCCAGACUAAUAUUAUCAGUAUUUAACCUCUUAACAGAAUUCGCAUCAUUCCCAUCAGGAAGUUUGAGCUAAUUUCUCCAAAACUUCAUUUAAAGGCAGGCAUAUAUAAUAUAUAUAUAGUAUAUGAUAAAAUAUAUAUUAGACAUGGAUAUGCUAUAUUGUUUAUAAUCUCUAGCUUUUCUAAUACUACUACGAUACAACCUUUCAUCCAUAUAAAACCCUGCUCAUAGUAGUUAGAAACAACACAGCCUUAAUUAAGAUCUCAACCAACUUAAGUUCUUGUUCAAUUCUAACAAUAAAUUUCAUAGGCAUAUCUUUCCAACAUAUAGCUAUAAGAUUUGCUCAUCGGUGAUAUAAGCGUCUAAAAGCUAAUUAUCCAUUUGUUCAACUCAUUCUAGAGUAGAUAACAUGCACCUAAUUAAGAGAUAUUCUAAUUCAUAACCUCAUUCUUUCAUUUCUAGCUGAAUUCCUGCUCAACAGCCUCUUCUCAUCUCACAUAUCCAAAUUCAACUAAAACUCUUCUUCAAAAAACCAUUCUAGUGCUUUAGAGAAAGAGAGAAGAAAAAGCUAAAAAAAAGGUGAGAAGAUAGCUCCGCAUACUAUUGAACGCGCGGUUUGUUGGCUGUAGAUAGACUAAGAAAAACUGCAAUUACGCCCCUCCACAACUGCUGCAACUGCAGUUUUCACCAAAACAGUCCGCUGCAGUUUACGAAACAGUCCUUGCAGUUUACAAACAGUCCCCGCCUACGCGAGCCGGCAGCCUUGGCAGCCGCAUUUCUCACUUCUACUCGCUCCGAUUCAUCCCAUACACUUCAAAACAUGCUAAUCUUCUAUGCCCAAACACUCAAAUAAUUGAAGCAUUUAAUUUCAAUUUUGUAUUAAUUUGAUCAUUUGACUAAAUGCGACUAAAAAUUUCAGCUUUUUGUAGCAAUAGCAAUUGAGUCUUUAGCCACUUCGAUUUCCAAUUCUGUGCUAUCUCUCAUAACUUAAAACAUGUCAAUUCUGUGCUCUACUAGCUAAUUAAGUUUAGAAAUACUUAAUUUCCAUUUUAGCUUAUUGCGACGCACUUUGAUCACGAAUUAGCUCGAGAUAAAUUGUCAAUCAAUUACAAUCUCCCCCCUUAAAACAGUUUCGUCCUCGAAACUUAAAUUCAUACCUUAGUCUUCCUCUUGAUCGAAUAGAUGGGGAUAGGAAUUUCACGCAUGAGCUUCUUCCAUUCCCACAAGUGCCUCCUCUCCUGAGUGAUUACUCGCAUUGUACUUUCACGUAGGGAAAUAGUGCGAUCGCAGUUCUCUGCGUUCUCGAUCAAGGGAUGCAUACUGGUAUCUCAUAAGUCAUAUCCUCUUGUAAAAUACUACCCAGGCUCGUACUCCAUAAAUGCCUGAAGUGCACAUAUUUUCGAGGAGAAUUCCGAAACAUGAAAAUACAUGUGAAUCCCUCGAAGUUCGCGGUAGAGCCAAUCUAAUAAGCUACUGCCAACUCGCUCUAGGAUCUCGUAAGGUUCCAAUGUAUCGAGGACUAAGAUAUUCCUCAGAACAGACCAAAUCUCUUUAUCCGCGCGCAUGUGGUGAUACUUUCAACAACACCUUAUCGCCAACCGCAAACUCCAAAUCUUUCGGCGCUUAUUUGCAUAUCUGCUGUCUGUCGACUGAGACCGUCAGCAAUCUUUGCGACAGUAAGCGUACCCUUUCCUCCGCCUCCUCGGAGUACAAAUAGACGCAAGAACCAUUCUUCACCCACAUUCACUCCAAAUGGAUAGGGGAUCGACAUUUCUCCCAGUAGAGGGCUUUCAAAAACGGUGGCCAUUUUGCGAUACUUUCUUGAUAGCUGUUAUUAAGCAAAUUCAGCCAUUCGCCAAGGAAUCAUGCCAACUCCUCUAAGUCAGUACACAUGCCGUAGCAUGUCUCCAAAAUCUGGAUCGUCCUCUCAAGACUGUCGCAUCGUCUGAGGAUGAGCUUUACUAAAGUCAAGACGUGUGCCAAGAGGCAUCCUGUAAACUCCUCGCAGAAAGUAGAUGUAAACGCGCGGUCUCGAUCAGAACAAAUCGACGUCGGACCCGUGUAAUCUCAGAACAAUCAUCAUCGAGGUAUCACCUGGCCACUGUCCCUUCGGACCAAGUAACAUGAAUGCAACAGAAAUGCCCCCGAUUUCGUGUCAGUCGACAACAAUCACACCAAAUAGUGUCAUGUCCAGCCUGUGAUCGAGGUAAUCCAAAUAAUGAAAUUCCAUCGCAAUGUUCCCCCACUUCCAGACGGGGGUGUCGGCGGAAAGCUAAGCUCUGUAACUUUCCGCGCCGGGAAAUCUGGCGGCUCAAGCUUAACUGCUGACAAGUCAAACACUGCCGCUACAAAACUGUCGCAACAUCCUUCUUCAUUCCAGGGCCACCAAUAAUGUACUUUAAAGAUCUUUGUACAUCUUUAGUGCCACCUUGAUGUACACUAUAGGUGACUGAUGAGCUUCCUAGUAUAUAGCCGCUCUGAACCUCCUCGUCUUAGGGUAUCGCACAUCGCGGUUGCGAAGCCGUAGGGCACGGUCAAUCCCACAUAAACUCAAUCCCCUCGCACCGCUCUCAACUUACACCACACUUUUUGAGGAUACGGAUCUAGAGGAUUGCCGAUCUUUAUCCAAGUCGCAACAAGUUCGGUUGAAACAACUAGAGCGCCAAGAACAGCUGUACUAUUCUGAGCUACUAGCCUCAAGAUCGAACCGCCGCAUUUCAUUCUGCAACGAACGGUUUUGAUGUGUGAUCACCAUAGCCAACGUUCUCACUGGACUUCCCUACUCAAUGCAUACAGCAACCACAAUUCGUCAUUUCCUGGGUGGUAUAGAAUAUAACAUCAUAAUCUUUUCACAAUUCUAACCACCGCGUUGUCGCAUAUUCAGCUCUUUCUGGUGAAUAAAUACUAUCAGGCUCCGUUGUGAUCUGUAAUAGAUUUCACAAUGUUCGGCCAUAUAGAUAUUCUCCAACUCAAAGUGCGCAGAUCACCGCGCAUUCCAAAUCAGAAUAGGAUAAUUCUUUUCAUAGUUCUUCAACUGGCGAGAACGCAUAAUCCAAUCACUGCGACCACUCUGCAUAACUACACCCCAAGUCCAUUGUAGGAACAUCACUGUAGACCACAAAACUCUCCCUGAAAUGGCAAGCCCAGAAUAGGAGUCGAAGUCAAACGCUUUCUUUCAAGCAUCCUAAAGCUACAUCACAAUCUUCCUCCAAACAUAUUAGUUCCUUUUAUUGUAAAGGGCGUUAAUGGAGUAGUAAUCUUCGCAAACCCCCCACCUGAACAGCGCUAUAGUAAUCCCGCGAGUCCAAGAAACUGGGGGGCGGAUGCUCUGGCAACAGUCGUCGGGCGAGGCCAAUCUUUAAUGCCUUUACUUUCUUUGGGGUCAACAGCUACACCGACCUGCAAAAUCACAUGCCGCCAAAGUAUGCGACCUCUGCAGCCAAAUUCACAUUUCUUCAAUUUAGGUGGCAUCUAACUGUUUGCUCCGAAGAUUUGGCAUCACUGUCUCAAGUGUUUUCCGGCUCCUCAUUACUUUUCGAGAAAAAUCAGGAUAUCAUCUAUAAAUACCACUACAACAUCUGAUCCAAUACGCGCUUAAAGAUCCUGUUCAUACAGAUCCAUGAAUGCUGCAGGGCAUUGUCAGCCAAACGGCAUCACUUGUACAACUCGUAAUGACCCAUAACGAGUGCGGAACGCGUCUUGUGCAACAUCUCUGGUUUGAUCUUCAGUGGUGGUACCCAUUGAAGAUCAAUCUUCGAAUCCUCGUGAACAAUUGCAAACUGAUCAAUAAAAUAUCGAUUCGCCGCAAGGAUAUUUUAUUCUUGAUUGUGAUCUUGUCAGUUACGAUAAUCAACACCAGUCGACGAGCUCCGUCUUUCUCUUACAAACAGAACUGGUGGCUGCCCACGGUGAUACACUGGCUUCACAAAGCCUUUAUCCAUCAAGUCUGUAACUGAGCUUUCAAACUCUCUCACUCAGCAGGUGCCAUUCUGUACGGAGCCUUCGAAAUGGCGCCGUUCCGGAACCAAGUCAAUAUACCGAACUCAUUUCCCCGAUCCGGCGGCAACCGCCGUAAUCCAGGAAAUACAUCAGGAAACUGCCGAACGCACUGAAUAUCACCUCACGUGCUGGAAAGUUCUUUUGAGUCCUGCACUACAAGUCGCGCAAAUAAGCCGCACAUCCACUACUGAAUCUAACUUUCUUGCUCUCGUGCGACGAGACAGUAGUGCCAAAGAGCGAAACUCUGCAUCGCUCGAUAUACAACUUCUUUGCCUCGGUUCAGGUCACAAAGGUAAUAAUUUUACUUUCACAAUUAAUCGUGGCAUAGUACUUUGCAAGCCAAUCCAUUCCCAAGGAUGCACAUCAAUGCUUUCAUGGCGGCUAACACAACAGAUCGCUGGCAUAAUCCAAUCACCAUCUGUACUGGACAAUGCGCACACACUUCGUGACACUAAAUGUUUGCUCAGGGCAUAUACGCACCAGGCAUACAGCACAUCCGAAAUCUUCAGUCAUGCGUCUUAGCAAAUGAGCUACUGAUGAAUGAAUGCGAUGCACGCGUGUCAAAUAUGCACGAGAUCUAGUGCCAUUAAAGAAAACAAGUACCUGCCACGACGUCCUCAACUAACGGCGCGGCUCCUCACCUGGGCUUGCAAAAUACACGACCACUCGGUGCAGAUCGAGGUGUGUCCAUACGGGUACUCGGGUGCAGAUCGAGUUGGGCUCGACUGACCGGCAAACAAAAGUACGUCCAGACUGACAUAGGCAGGCGGUAGACCAGAACGCUGUCUUGAGGGUGACUGGAACUGAAGCUGGUGGACUGUGCAGGUGAUCUCCCCUCGGCAAUCACGAAUCAUAUGUCCGCGUGCUGACGCACACUUGAAACAUUUACCUUCCCGCUGUGGACAAGCCAUCGGUCGACCUGAUUCUCCGCCGCAUACACAACAUACUCGGGGGUCCCUCGACUACCCCGACUUGAGACCCUGGAUGCCGACGGCGCGGCCGUUUCGGCAGUCGACUGUCCGGCACCACUUGUGGUCCUCUUUUUUUCUUUUCUCUUUCUCGUUUCCCUUUCAAACGAUUGCGUUCAUUCACGCGCGAAUCGCAUUCCGCGCUCACCCGAAAGAGCUCGAUCUAUAAACCUUCCUCAAAAUUUUUAAAACUUUAGAGCAUUUGACUGUCCUGAAUAUGUCCGCUCGCCACCCCCGCUCAAAAACACCGCUCGAUCUCGAUCGUAUGAACAUCCCAGCAGCAGCAGUCACCAAAUAAGUAAAUUCCCGUUCGUACUUCUCUCCGCCGUACCGAACGGUCUUUCCCCUGUCUCAAUUGCGGAAAGUCUAUCUUUCAUUUUUCCUUUUAUCACUGUCGGAAGUACUCCAUAAAUAACAUCUCCCGCGAAACUCCUCCCAAUGACGCGGUGGUAAGUUUUCGGUGCCCAGGCUCUUCUUGCGCUUUGCCACCAAAUUCUGAGCAUUCUUGCUCAAGCAGUGUGCCGCCUAAAGAUACCUGUUAUCCCUUUCCAAAUGUAAAUUCCUCGGAAUAAGGCCUCAUCGUGUAUACCAUGUCUCUAUCAACCCCAGCGAACUGCUUCUUGCCAUCAAACAAUUAGGCGAUUAUAAAGCCGCAUAAAUGCCUCUAUGUACCUUUAUAAAUUCGCGCGCCUCAGUCCUCCAAUGCGGUUCAAAUCUAGAAUUAGAGGGCCCAGAAACCACGUGGAUGAACAGUCGGUCGAAACAGGAGCACGAUCGUUCGGCGACUUCAGAUACAGGUACAUCACGACUCCACAGGUAUUUUCGCGGUUGUUCGCCUGCCGACAUUAAAUCCUGUAGGCUCUUUAUAUGGCUGCCUCACUGUCUGCUGCAUAGGCCCCCCUAAUCGAGCGCACGAUCCUGAGCAGGCACUCCUGAACCUCAUUCAGAUCUCAUCGACUGCUCUGGCACCUCAGAAGGAUGCCGAGUGGAUCUCGUCGGCACGUCGCGGCUGGCAUUCUCCUUGAACACGAACUUUCAUAUUAUAAAACAAACCAAUUCAGUGCGAAAGCAAUCAAUCGCGUACUUAUACUCAACCCUUACUUUAUGUUGUUGGCCACUCAACAUAACUCUUUUGUUGGCAUAUAAUAAGCAAUUGAUCAGCACCCUAAUUAAUCAUUAGAGACUUACUAACACUAACUGCCAUUUGUUUUAGACCUUGCUAUCAUUAAUAUUCACUGACCACUUAACACCAUUCCUAGUCUCCAGGUUUCGCAAUUCUAAGUCCCCUAACUCAUCCUAGACUUUAAGCUAUCACUUGCUUCUGAUACCACUUAAAACUACGAACCCGCUAAUCCAGCCAAAUAUAAUCGCAUCGAUUCGGGGCCCGUGCACAGACCCCGACGACAGAACCUCCUCUGUCCGCCCAAAGGCUCACAACGGCGAGUACAUGUUAUAAAGAAAUAAAACAAUUCCCAGGACACACAUUUCAAUAUAACAUGGUUGUCAGCGAGGCAAGUCAACAAUCACAAGUAUAGUAAGCUAGUCUUAUACUGAAAAUCACUUGUAAUUUAAAUACUUCAGCACUGAACUAUAAACACUAAACAUUUAGUUAUUACAUGCCUUUAUAAGACAUUCAUUUACAUGUCUACACAUAACUAUGUAAAACUCACACUAUAACUCGGGUGUCAGCUAGCUAGCGGCGGGGCUGCUUACCACGAUCCCGGCCACACCGCUACGAGCACUGAACCUUGUAUGGUUAGGGUUAUGAGAAACCUACUGAAAUAAGUUCCCAGUCGGGUUCGACCUGUCGAAUUCUGCACGACAUCACCAACACAACUAGAUAUAACUACGCUUGUAGGCAAGAAAGUAAAACGAUAGUUUAAACGCAACUAUAAUAUUGUAACUACUAGCAAUGUGCCUUGUACAAAGCGUGAAAGAAAGCAUUAUAUAACAUAAAAUGUAAAUAUCAUUGCAUGCCUUUACUGAAUUAUCACAAUCUCAUUAGGUUACCUAAUUGGUACAAUAAUCCACAUGCAACUAUCCCAAAUAUUCGGAGAACGCAGACCAUGACCACGAUGAGGACUGUCAACUGGGAGACGCACCUCGCUGAUACACAGAUAAGAUGAAUACUAUGCCGAGGAGCUCACGUUCAAGGGAUGAGCGUACCUAUCUCUUGAACAAAGCGAAUUGUUGAGUAUGAACUUGACCUUUUUAGAGGAUUCAUACAAUAGACAAUCGUCAACACUUUGACUCCAGCUAACCUUUUAUGCUAAUUUCACAAUUUCAAUUCAAAUCUCUAUUAGUAAUGUCACCGCAGUUUGCUAUUGUUAUAGUCCGAUUACAUUUCAUUAGGGUUCUAUUAUCCACACAUCUAUUGUUCAUCAUAUGUUCAUGGUCUGAUUAUAAGCAUUCUGCAUAUCAAUAUCACUUACAUAAUAACAAUACCCUAAAUGCAUGAUUACAAUGUAAAAAUGGUCUCACUAAAUUAGCAUAGACAUAAAAUGGCGAUUCAAAGAUUUCGAUACACCACACACCUGUAGUGGUGUCCAGACUAGAAUCCUACUCUCGCAACUGUGCCAACUAACAAAUCAUCGCGACUCAACCAAUGCAAUUAAGGCCGAAUUGGCUUCUAACUUAAUGUAGUGCGUCGCCGACGGCUGUCGAAUUGCUCAAUUUAGACUUUGCGAAGCAGUUAACUUUCAAUUUAUAAAGAAUAAAAGAGAUUAAAACUUAUGUUCAUAUCCAAUUCUAACAAACUAAAAAUUCACUUUAACUACAUAUAUAUAGUAUAGUGUUAAGGCCUCUAUACAUAUCCUCUUUUAUUCCCAUAUAUAAACAGCAGUUUAUUUUAUUCUAAUGCAGAACUUCAAGCCUACUUAAUUCCAAUUCUAUUUUCAACACUAAGCACUAUAUACAUCUACAUACUAUAUACAUGUAAACAAUAUACAUUUAUAUGUACAACUUGUUACAUUCCACCACCUAUAUUAUAUAGAACUUUAUAUAUCCAAUUAACUACUUUCACCCCAAACUAGUCCAACUUGACAUCAACAUAGGCAUUCUCUGGAUUCAUACAUCAAAUAGACAUUAGCAACCUAGAAAUUCUGAAGUUAGACAUUUUGCUCUACGGUUUCACAUGCACUUAGAGGCUUAACAAUCAUAAUCUAUCAUUCAAUACUCUUCCUAAUUUUAAACAUAAACAAUAACAAUUAAAUAAGGAAAUAGAAUCAACCUAUUUCAGUUUUUAUCCCUAUUCCAUAAUUCACCUAUAUACUAUACUACAACAUUUAUAUUUAAUGCCAUGGUUAUAAAAUUAUGGCAUAAUUUAACCUUCUUAUCAGCAAUAGCAUCAUUGCCAUUCAGGAAUUUGAGCUAAUUAAAAACUCCAAACUUCAUUCUUAUAAGCUAGGCAUAUAUAUAAUAUAUAUAAUAUAGUAUAUAUAUACUAUAUAUAUAUAUACAAUAUGCUAUAUUUUUUUAUAAUCUCUAGAUAUCAAUAUAAAACCCUCUCAUAGGUAGUUUAGUAACAAACGCCUUAUAUUAAGAUCUCAACGACUUAAGUCUUGUUCAUAUUUCUAACCAAUAAUUCAUAUGCAUUCUUUUCCAACAUAUAGCUUAUUAGAAGAUUUGCUCAUCGGAAUAUAAGCUCUAAAAAAAAGCUAAUUAUCCCAUAUUGUUAACUCAUUCUAACAAUUAAGAAUAUUCUAAUUCAUACCUCAAUUCUUUCUUUCUAGCUAAUUCCUGCUCACCUAGCCCUCUCAAACACAAAUCACUAAACCUUCUUCAAAAAACCAUUCUAGUGCUUUAAAGAAAGAGAGGAAGAAAAAGCUAAAAAAAGAGGUUGAGAAGAAAGCUCCCAUACGUAUGAAGCUGCCGGCUUGUUGGCUGUAGAUAAGACUAAGAAAAAAUGGCAAUUACCCCAGCCCUCCACAAUGCUAAAGCAUACUGCAGUUUUCACCCAAAACAGAUCCCUGCAGUUACGAAACAGUCGCUUGCAGCUUUACAAAACAGUCCCGCUAGCAGCCGCAGGCCUUGCUAGCCCAUUCUCACUUCUAGCCUCGCCCGAUUUCAAUCCGCAACACUUCUAAAACAGCUAAAUCUCAUGCCCAACUACAAUUUAAUUGGAAGCAUUUAAUUUUCAAUUUUGUAUUAAUUUGAAUCAUUUUGACUAAAUCGACUAAAAUUUCAGCUUUUUUAGCAAUAGGCAAUUGGAGGUCUUAGCCACUUCGAAUUCCAUUCGUGUCUAUCUCAUCACUUUAAAAACAUGUCAAUGCUGUUCCAGCUAUAAUUAAGUUUAGAAAUACUUAAAUUUCCAUUUUAGCAUUAUUGGCGACCACGAUUUGAUCACAAUAAGCUCGAGAUAAAUUUUCCAGAAAUGCAUUACAAUCUCCCCUCUUAACAGUUUCGUCCUCGAAACUUAAAUCAUACCUUAGUCCUGCUGAUCGAAUAGAUGGGAUAGGAUUCAAGGCCAUAGCUUUUCCAAGUACCAAUUGGCCUCUCUCCUGAGUGAUUACUCCAUUGUACUUUCACGUAGGAAUAGUGCGAUUUCGCAUUUCGCGUUUCUCGGAUCAGGAUGCAUACUGGAUACUCUUCAUAAGUCAAUCCUCUUGUAAAUCUUAGCAGGCUCGUACUCCAUCCAGCCCAACAUGCCCUGAAUGGUGGCACAUAUUUUCGGAGAUUCGAAACAUGAAAUACAUUGUGAAUUCCCGUCAGAAGUUGCGCGUAGAGCGCCAAUCUAUAAGCUACUGCUCCAACUCGCCUCUAGAUCCGUAAGGUCGGCAAUGUAUGCGAGGACUAAGCUUUCCAUGCGAACAACCAAAUCUCUUUAUCCCGCGCAUUGGGAUACUUUCAGAACACCUUAUCGCCACACGCAAUCCAAAUUCUUUCGGCGCUUAUUUGCAUAACUCUGCUGUCGUGACUACCGUCAGCCAAUCUUGGGCGGACUAGGCGACCUUUUCCUCCGGCUCUCUGGAGUACAUCAGGACCAAGAACCAUCUUUCACCCACUUCACUCCACAUGGAUAGGGAUCGAAUUUCUCUUCCGUAGAGGGCUUCAAACGGUGCCAUUGCGAUGCUUUCCUGAUAACUAUUAUUAUAUGCAAACUCAGCCAUCGCUAAGGAAUCAUGCCAACUCCCGCUAAAGUCAAGUACACAUGCCCGUAACAUGUCCUCGAAUAUCUGAAUCGUCCUCUCAGACUGUCCAUCGGUCUGAGGAUGAAAAGCUGUACUAAAGUCAAGACGUGUGCCAAGAGCAUCCUGUAAACUCCUCCAGAAGUGAGAUGUAAACCGCGGAUCUCGAUCAGAUACAAUCGACGUCGGGACUCCGUGUAAUCUCACGAUCUCGUCGAGAUACACCUGUGCUAACUUGUCUCCUGACCAAGUAGCAUGAAUCGGCAAGAAAUGCGCCGAUUUCGUCAGUCGAUCAACAAUCACCCAGAUGGUAUCAUGUCCAGCCUGUGAUCGAGAUAAUCCAACAAUGAAAUCCAUCGCAAUGUUCUCCCACUUCCAGACUGGAAUAGGCAAGCUCUGUAACUUCCCCGCAAGAAAUCUACGCUCAGCUUUCACUUGCUGACACGUUAAGCACUGUGCUACAAACUGUCCAACAUCCUUCUUCAUUCCAGGCCACCAAUAAUGCACUUUAAGAUCUUUGUACAUCUUAGUGCCACCUGGAUGUACACUAUAAGGUGACUGAUGAGCUUCCUGUAGUACAGCCCUCUGAAUCUCUUCGUCUUUAGGCACACAUAACCGGUUUCGAAACCGAAGUGCUCCGUCAGAUCCCACUGUAAAAUCAUCCCCUUGCCCGCUCUCAACUUCACCCCGCACCUUUUGGAGAUUCGGAUCCAAAGAUUGCCGCUCUUUAAUCCUUUCCAAUAAAGUCGGUUGAACAACUAGGGCGGCAAGAAUAGCUGGUACAUUUGGAGCUACUACCUCAAGAUCAAACCGUCGCAUUUCCUUCCACAAUGACGGUUGGUGGGUGAUCAUCAUAGCUAAAUUCUCUACUGACUUUCUACUCAGGGCAUCAGCAACCACAUUCGCUUUUCCCGGGUGGUAUAAAAUAUUAACAUCAUAAUCUUUCAACAAUUCUAACCACCGGCGUUGUCGCAUAUUCAGCUCUUUCUGGGUGAAUAAAUACUUCAGACUCUUGUGAUCUGUAUAAACUUCACAAUGCUCGCCAUAAAGGUAAUGUCUCCACAACUUCAGUGCGAAGAUCACCGCCGCCAAUUCCAGAUCAUGAAUAGGAUAACUCUUUUCAUAGUUCUUCAACUGGCGAGACGCAUAAGCAAUCACUCGACCACUCUGCAUAAGUACACACCCAAGUCCACUGUAGGAAGCGUCACUAUAGAUCACAAAACUCUCCCCCGAAAUCGGCAAGGCAAGAAUAGGAGUCGAAGUCAACCUUUCUUUCAACUCCCUAAAGCUACGAUCACAUUCUUCGCUCCAAACAUAUUUAGUUCCUUUAUGUGUAAGGCGCGUUAAUGGAGUAGUAAUCUUCGCAAACCCCUCCACGAACCGCCUAUAGUAUCCCGCGAGUCCAAGGAAACUGCGGAUCUCUGGCACAGUCGUCGGGCGAGGCCAAUCUUUAAUUGCCUCUACUUUCUUUGGGUCAACAGCUACACCACCCUCAGAAAUCACAUGCCCCAAAAAUGCGACCUCUCGCAGCCAAAAUUCACAUUUCUUCAAUUUGGCAUAUAACUGUUUCUCCCGAAGAAUUUGCAUCACUGUUCUCAAGUGUUCUUCGUGCUCCUCAUUACUUCGAGAAAAGAUCAGGAUAUCAUCUAUAAAUACCACUACACACUGAUCCAAUAGCGGCUUAAAGAUCCUGUUCAUCAGAUCCAUGAAUGCUGCAGGGGCAUUGGUCAGCCCAAACGGCAUCACUGUAAACUCGUAAUGACCAUAACGAGUGCGGAACGCUGUCUUGUGCACAUCUUCUGGUUUGAUCUUCAGUUGGUGGUAACCCGAUUGAAGAUCAAUCUUCGAAUACACUCGUGAACCUUGCAACUGAUCAAAUAAAUCAUCGAUUCGCGGCAAUGGAUAUUUAUUCUUGAUUGUGAUCUUGUUCAGUUCACGAUAAUCAACACACAGUCGAAGCGUUCCGUCUUUCUUCUUUACAAACAGAACUGGGGCUCCCCACGGUGAUACACUAGGCUUCACAAAGCCUUUAUCCAUCAAGUCCUGUAACUGAGCUUUCAACUCUCUCAACUCAGCAGGUGCCAUUCUGUACGGAGCCUUCGAAAUGGGCGCCGUUCCGGGAACCAAGUCAAUAACGAACUCAAUUUCCCGAUUCGGCGGCAAUCCCGGUAACUCCGCAGGAAAUACAUCAGGAAACUCUCGAACCACUGGAAUAUCACUCAGUGCUGGAAGUUCCUUUUGAGUCUCCACUACAGUCGCCAAAUAGGCCGCACAUCCACUACUAAUCAACUUUCUCGCCCUCGUCGACGAUACAGUCAGUGCAAAGAGCGAACUCUUGCACGCUCGAUAUACAACUUCCUUCUGCCCGGGUUCACGAAAAGUAAUAACUUUACUUUCGCAAUCAAUCGUGGCAUAGUACUUUGUAAGCCAAUCCAUUCCAAGGAUCAUAUCAAAACCUUUCAUUUGCUUCAACACUAGUAAAUCAGCUGGCAUAAUCCAAUCUCCAAUCUGCACUGGACAUGCCGCACACUCCUCGUGAACACUAAAAGUGUGCUCAGGAGCAUAGACCUACCAAGCAUCUGGUCUAUCCGAAAUCUCAAUAUCAUGUGUUCUAGCAAAUGAACUACUAAUGAAGGAAUGAGAUGCACCAGUGUCAAAUAAUGCACAAGAUCUAAUACCAUAAAGCAAAACAAUACCUGCCACGACAUCGUCGACCACGGCAGGAUCCUCUGCCUGAGCUGCAAAUACACGUCCACUCGGUGCAGAUCGAGGUGUCUCCGUAUGGGUGCUCGAUGCAGGUCGGGGUGGCUCGUACUGACGCGGUACAAAAGAACGUCCAGCUGACAUAGCAGGCGGUAAACCAGAACGCUGUCUAGAGGGUGACUGGGCUGAAGCUGUCGACUGUGCAGAUGAUGCUCCUCUCGGGCAAUCCCGAAUCAUAUGUCCUGGCUGUCCACACUUAAAACAUUUACCUUCCCGCUGUGAACAAGCCGUCGCCCGAUGAUUCCCGCCGCAAAUCACACAUCUCUGCGGUCCCUGAUACCUCUGCUGUGGUCGUGGAUACCGAGGGGGCCGUUUAGAGCUCGACUGUCCCCCGGCACCACUAGUGGUCCUCUUUUUCCCUUUUUCCCUUUCUCGUUCUCUUUCAAACGAUUCGCGUUCAUCACGCGCAAUCGCAUUUCCACGUUCAAUCCAAAGGGCUCGAUCUAAAACUUCCUCAAAAGUUUUCAACUUCAGAGCAUUAACUGUCCUGAAUAUGUCAGGUCGCAACCCGCGCUCGAAGUACUCCGCCCGAUCUCGAUCUGUAUGAACCAUACCAGGCACACAGUUCACCAAAUGAGUAAAUUCCCGUUCGUACUCCCGUACCGAACGGUUCCCCUGUCUCAGCUUGCGGAAGUUUUCCUUCAUUUUCCUUUUAUCACUGUCGGGAAAGUACUCCAUAAAUAACAUCUCUCGAAACUCCUCCCAAGUAAGCGGUGGUAGAUAUGAUGCCCGCUUCUUCUUGGUCUUUUGCCACCAAAUCUGAGCAUCCUUCUCAAAACAGUGCGCUGCCAACGGAACCUUGUCCCUUUCCAAAGUGUAAAGGUCCUCAAACAAUGCCUCCAUCGCUGUAAACCAUGUCUCCAAUACCCACGGAUCUGCUUCUUUCCCGUCAAACAUAGGCGGAUUAAACCGCAUAAAUGUCUCGAGUACCUUUACAAAUCGCGCACGCUCAGCCUCUGUCGCAGUCACAUCAGAAUCAGAGGGCCCAGAAACCAUUGGAGGAACAAUCGGCGGAACAGGAGGCACGGUCGCCGGCGCCUCAGAUACAGGUACCUCACGACCCCCAGGUACUGCCGUUGUCGCCUGUCGCGACAUUAAAUCCUGUAUACUCUUUAUAUGCUCCUCCUGUCUCUGCAUAGCCCCGACUAAGGCGCUCACCUGAGCACGCAACUCCUGAACCUCAUCAGACCCAGACUGCUCUGGCACCUAAGAAAGGGAUGCCGGAGUGGAUCUCGUCGCACGUCGCGGUGGCAUUUCUCCUGAAACGAACCAUUUACAUUAGUAACACAAAACAAAUCAGGCGAAAGCAAUCAAGCGUAUUUAUACUCAACCUUAGCUUUAUGUUGUUGGCCACCAACAUAACUCUUUUUAGUUGCAUAUAAUUAACACUUGGAUCAGCCCCUAAUUAACAUUAGAGACUUACUAACAACUAACCCAAUUUGUUUAGCUUUCGCUAUCAAUAAAUUCACGCCACUCGCGUUCCUAGUCCCUAGGUUUCCAAUCCUAAGUCCCCAAGGUCAUCCUAGACUUUUACUAUCACUUGCUCUGAUACCACUUAAUCUGUCACGUCCCGCUAUCGCCAAUUUGGUCGAUCCGGCCCGUACACAGACGCCGGACGGACAGAACCUCCUCUGACCGCCCAAGGCUCAACAACAACGAGUACAUGUAUAAAGAAUUAAACAACUUCCAGAAUAACAUUUCAGUAUACAUGGCUUGCACGAGGGCAAGCAACAAACACAAGUGAUAGUAAACUAACUAUACAAUGAAAUUCACUGUAAUUUAAAACUUUACAUAACUGAAACAUUUAGUUAUUUACAAGCUCUUUAAUACAUUCAUUUACAUGUCUCUAUACAUCAAAAUGGAUGACAUAUGAACUCAAAAUGAUAACCACUAUACUCUGGUGUCAGCUAACUAAGCUGCAGGGCCCUUGCCUCGAUCCUCAGCUACAACACUUGCACUGGAACCUGUAUGGUUAGUGGUGUGAGAACUACAGAAAAGUUCUCAGUGGGUUCGGCCGCCGACCUCGCCGACUCACCCACUAGGUCUACUUAGGCAUAUGUAGGUAAGAAAAGUAAAGCAGAUAGUAACCAACUAUAUGUAACUACUACAAUGCCUGUACAAAGCUGAAAGAAAGCAAUAUAUGAAACUAUAAAUAUGCAUGCAUGCUUUCACUGAAUUUACCCAAUUCAUUUUGGUUAACCCUCUGGUUAACAAUUACUCACUGACGCUAUCCCAAAUAUCGGGGAGACGCACCUGCACCCGACGGGAUUGUCAACUGGGGGAGACGCACCUCCUGGUCCAGUAAAGAUGACUACUCCGGAGCUCAUCGUUCAAGGAGGAGCGACCUCACUUGAACCAAACAAAUGUGAGUAUGAUCUGAUCCUCCUUUAGAGGAUUCAACAAUAGACAAUGUCACACUUUAACUCUAACUAGCUCUUGAUGCUAGUUUCAUAAUUCCAAUGUCGAUGCUAACCAAAUCUCUAGUCAUAUGUCACCAAGUUCACUAUUAUUAUAGUCCAUACAUUCAUAGGGUUCUAUGUCCACAUUCUAAGGUUCACAAGUUCCUACUGUCGAUAGAAAUUCACAUUUUCACUUGCACAAUGCCAAUUACCCUAUAAUGCAUGACUAAACAAUUAUAAAUAUGCUCAAUGAAAUAUAAUAGACAUAAAAGGUGAUUCAAAGACUUCGGAUAGCACCACCCACCUGUAGGGAUGCUAACAAUUAGAACUCACGUCUCGGGCUGAAUCCACGAAGGUAUCACCCGACUAGAUGCAAAUAGAGCCCAAAUGGCUUCUAUCGUAGACAGCGCGUCGUCAACCUGUCGGAAGUCCAUUUAGACUUUCGGGUAUGAAUAACUUUUAUAUGUACAGUAACGGAAGAAAUUAAACUAGAGUCCUCGCUCAUAUUCUACAAGUUGGCAUUUCCAAACUAUAGAAUGUUGAUCAAAGUUGAUUUCAGCACUAAACUGAAUUCUAGGCCAUGCUGAAUUUUCAGCAUUAUAUCUCUUCUUCGAAUAACUAUUUAACCUCGAAGCUCAGCUGAGCUAUGAUCAAUUUCCAUGCUAAGUUAAUGUUGAAAUCAACUUCUUUUACCAUCAUUUCAGCAUAUACCAAUUAGCUCACUCUUAGUUCCAAUACUUAACAGAUUUCUAUAUUGAAAUCUGCUUCUUAUCAGCUCUAGACAGCAUAUAGUUCUCAACUUAAUUCAUUUUAAGUAAUUAGUUGGACUAUAAUCCAAUAAGGAAUAAACUUACUCUAACUUGCUGCUGAAUCAACUUGUUCCACGCAUCAAUUGGCCUUCUCUUCACUUCGGCCAGCAAUGACAACAAGACUUCAGCUCCGAUAGCCUAAAGUCUUAAGUUUGCUACUCCUUGACUAUGAAGUGCUCUCAGCUUCACACAGCUCCAAUUAACACUCCUCAGCUUCACACAGCUGAUCCCUGGAUUCGAGUAGGCUCCAACAACCAAACUUCGGCUUCAAUCUGAAAUUCCAGCAGCAAAUACUCAUUCCUUCUAAUAAUUCAGUCUCUACUUAAAUUCUUGCAUAUAGACAUACUACAUGUAACUCGUUUCUAAGGUAAGGAGCUUCAUAAUAAUCUAAUAUGGACCUAACUUACCUCAAUUCCAAACUCUCUCAGCUGAUUUCACAAACUUGGCAGCACUAACAAGCGCCCACGUCACUUCGGCCCCUAGCAGCAGCUCAAAAACAUAUAAGUAUUACCUCCAAGGUAAUUUCCUUAAUUCUAAUCAAAUAUUAGACUAAGAAUACCUCAACCAGAUGUUGAAUUUGCUUGCUCCCUGCAUCGAAUGGCCCAUUCCUGCAUUUCGGAUCAGCAGGCUUCAACUUCAGCAACUUUCUAUUCCUAGCAGUCAACAUCCUUUGGUAACUCCUCUUGAAGGUAAGUAACUUGGGUAGAAUCAAAUAUCAACUGAGACUUACCUUAAUUUAGAAACUUCUUCUAAUUAAUUCCAGCUGUAAAAGCCUUCCCUGCUGUCCCCAACAGCAAGAAACACUCAACUUCAAUCAACUCAAGAACACCUAAGCUGUCAGCUACAUAAGGACUAUAUAAGUAUCCUCUCUACAUGAUUAACUGAGCUAGAAAGAAGUACUAGUCAUAUUUACCUUGAUUAGAUGCCUUCUAAGUCUUGUAGUAACUUCAAUCAGCAAAAGUUUCUUGCUGGAAUCAAGUUUUCUUCUCAGCUCACAAAUCAUUCAAGCUGUUACUUCAACUUCUCCUUUUCUUAGCUUAGACAGAGAGAAGGAGCAGAGAAAAAAAUGAUAAGUAUGAAGGGAAAUGAACUCUCUGCCCCUGGACAUGUGUAUUCCACUCAGGGGAAAGGGAUAAGAGUGAAAAUUUGCACUUUAACCCUUUAAUUUCCAAAAACUGCAUUGCAGUCCAGGGUAGCCGCAAUUCUGUACCGGUACAGAUUCUUGUACCGGUACAAGAUGGCAGCAGCAGCAUCAGCAGCAGCAGCAUCAGCAGCUGCUUCACCCCCUCCUUCCUCUAAUCCAAUUCAUUCUAAUCUCAUUCAAACACCUCAAAAACAUUCCAAAUGAGCUUCUCAAGCUACCCAAUUAAUUUGGAAGCAUUAAAUUCUCCAUUUAACAUUAACUUGAUCAUUUUUUAUCAAGUUAACUCAAUAUUUCAGCAGCAGGUGUUCAAUCUCUUGUUUCUCUCAUGUAAUUCACUUGGAUCUUAUUCGGACACAUCCAAAAUCAUCCAAAGAAGCUUUCCAAGCCAUCAAGUUCAUUUGGAAGCAAUUCACAUCAAAUUUGGCAUCAAUUGGACCAUUUUUGACUAAUUGACCCAAAUUUUCAGCAUUAAGUAGGGUACUGUAAUGUGCUGCGGUCCGGCGGCCACGGCCCACAUUUUGCCCGGGGCGAAACGGGCCGCGGCCAGCCCGGCACGGCCCGGCUCCAAAAUCGGGCGUGCGUGCCGGCCAGACGUUUUGGACGCCGGCCUACGCGGGCCCCCCGGCCCGACCUGCACGGGGCCGUGCCGGCCCCGGGCACGGGCUUCGGCGCCAGCAGCUUUUUUAUUUUUAUUAAUUUUAUUUAUAAAUAUUUAAAUUCUUUUUAAAAAUAAAAUAAGAAUAUUAAUUUUUUAAAAAUAAAUAUCAGUACAAAAUUAAAAUUUAAAUCUAUUUAUAAAAUAUUAAACUUUUAAAUUAUUUUCACUUUUAAAAAUUUGGACCAAAAUACCCUCCCAAGCAGUCAAAUUCUUUAACUGUUUGGGAACGGGAAAAAAAACAAACCCCAUUUUUUAGUCCAAGCCCACUCCCAAUGCCACAGCCCAACUCUUUGACUUGUUGGGAGUCCCAAAGCCACAACCGCGCAUGGGAUUGGAGCUCCCAAGCAUUGGAGUUGUGCGCCUUGGAGUUGGAUGUACGCCAACUCCGCAAGGCCCUGCGACUCUGCUGGGCCCGGCUCGGAGGAGCCUGGCCACGGGCCGGCCUGCCGGCCGGGCCGGGCUGGACAGUCUAGGCCCGCACGGCCCAGGCGCUAUGUCGUGGCCGGCCGUGCCGGGCCAUCGGGCGCGGGGAGCAAGCCCAGCACGGCCUGAUAAACCUGGCGCGCCGGGCCGCAGCGGCACGUUACAGUACUCUUGCCGUGGCCUGGCCCGGCCACUCUCCGUGCCGGGCCGGGCGGCCGCGGCCGCCCGCCCGUUUGACACCCUAGAUUAAGGUAACUUGACAGUUGGACUUCUUUUGCCACUUCGAUCCAUUCUUAUUAUUCCCACACUUCAAAAUAUGUCAACAACUGAUACAUCGAUGAACUGCUAAUUAAAGUUUAAAUAGGCUUAAUUUGCAUUUUAGCAUUAUUGUGACCAUUUGAUCACAAUUAGCUCGAGAUAAAUUCUCAAUGCAUUUACAAUAAUAUAUAUAUAUAUAUGAUAUAUAUAUAAGUAUAUUAUAUAUUAUAUAUAUAUAUAAAUAUAUAUAUAUAAUAUAAUAUAUAUAUAUAAAUUACCUAUACAUUAAUUAUCAUGAUAAAAACUAUAUGUACCACUCCCUUUAAUUUGAGGAGGAGUGAGGCCCACUUUUUUCUUUUUUCUUUUUUUUUUUUUUACUUUUUCUCCUUUUCUUUAGAUUUACUAGGCCUAAAGAGUUUUUUUUCUCCCUUUUCUUUACCUUUUGGUCUUCCACCCUCUCGCUUAAAUUUGCAAAUUCGAAUUUUGUUAUGUUUCAAUUCGGAGUCAAUUAUUGAUUAAAAGUGAUAUAUAUAUAAUUUAUAUAUAUAUAUAUAUAUAUAUAUAUAUAUAUAUAUAUAAUAUAAUAUAUAUAUAUAUAUUCGGUUGCCGACAGACACUUUUCCGGCAUCCGGCACCUCCGGCCACCUCCCGUUGGUGGGCACAACAUCUCUGAGCAUCUGUGCUGGUCCGUACUCCCCCAAAUUUCAGGUAUCUGUGUCCUGAACUGCUGUUUGCAUCAGUGCCCGCCAUGUGUUCGGUAAAUUGACCAUUUCUUGUUUUGGCUUUAUGGUCGAAAAUGGGAGUUCUUAGGAGCGUUGCAAUCGUGAGGAAAUUCCCUACACGAUGCUCACCUUGUUGACGUGAUUCUUACGCUCGGUGGAAGCCCGAACCUACGAUGUACUCGAAAUCGGCUCCGCGCGGCCAAUUUUCGCUCUCCGACGGUCGGCGAUCAUUUGGGUGAAUACUUUGUGGGUUCGCUGCAGCCAGAGGAGUGCUGACAAACCCCGUGAACUGCUGCUCCACUUCAGAUUGUGGAAGUUUGGUAAAUUGUUCAAAAUCUCCUUUUUAUUACUUUAUUGCGUGCUAUGUGCGGUGACAUUAUGUAUGCGGCUUUUCGACGUUUUUCACGUCGCGUAGAGUGUUGAACAGUGGUGUUUAGUAGACGUGGUUAUUCGGACUUGUGGUCCGAGGUUCUAAAACCGUAUUUAUUUUAAAAUUAGGAUACAAAAUUAAUUCGUAUUAUACCUGUACCGAAUUUUUGCCGAACCCGAAUUAACUAACUAUGGUUUAUAGUUGCAUUGUUGCUAAUGCUAGUUCAUAUUCAUACGAGCCUACUAGUAUAUAUUAUUUUUCGAACAAUAUCUGAAUAUGCAUCUGCGUCAUAUAUGAAUUCGAAAAAAUAUCCGACCAUGUCUAAAAUACUAUAUAUAAUAAAUUAAUAUAUAUUUAUAAAUAAAUAUAUAUAUAUAUAUAAAUAUAUAUAUAUAUAUAUAUAUAUAUAGGCCAUGGCUACUAUACUAUUAUGAGUAUUGGAGCGCUCGUACUCAUAAGUUGUUUUCAAUGAUGGAGCUUCCAAAUCGACAAUCCACUCCGUUAAAUAUGAUCUAGAGUAUUUGAAACUUUUAGAAAAUAACUUUCGUAAAUUUUCGAAAUCAUAAUAAAGUCCAUCAAGUGGGCAUAAAAUGAACGGUCAAAAUCGAACGACGUCCCAAACAAAGAUGAUCGGAUCCUUUAAUUCAAGAUCGGAGUUAUUGAUCUUUAUCUAUGUAGUGAAUAGAAUUUUCUAUCAAAAAUUCAACAAAUUCCGAUUCUUUUACACCGUUAAACUAGCAAGUAUCCCAUACCGGCCGUUAAAAAUUGUCAAAUUUGUGACCUCUUGAUCGUAAGAUAAAUGAUGUCGAAAAAUUAUAAAAUUUGAUUUCUAGAAGUUUUAAAUGCUGUAAAUAACGUUUAACGGUGUGGAUCGUCGAUUCGGAAGCUCUAUCACCGAAAACAACUUAUGAGUAUGAGGGCGGAAAACGAAAACUCGAUUUUUUUUUUUUUUUUUUUCAAAAUCUGUAAAAUAACUUUUCCAAAAAAAAAUUUGCGGACAACCAAACAUUUGAAAAAAAAAUUUCAACCCCUCCGAAAUUUUUUUUGGAGGGGUUUUACAGGGAUCCAAACGCACCCUUAGCCAUUAAGCUUCAACCUAAAACCCUAAUCUUAAUCAACUAUUGCUCUAAACCCUAAUAAGCCUUCUUCUCCAAAACCCUGAUCUUAUUAGACAAUUGCUCUGAACUCUGCUCUUCUUGGUUUACUUCUCUCAAUUUGUUAGGCUCUCUCUCCCAUGAGGUGAAAAUGCCCUCGGUUCCCAAUAAUGUUUCCACCCAAAAUCAGCAGAGUGGUGGGGGAAGGAAAACUCAGGACGAUCGCCGAAAUCAACAAUCGUCAGCUUGGUACCAGUUUCUCGGACUUUUUUUUUAACUCUUUAAUUCUUGAUGUCGUUAGUUUUGUCGAUUGAUUUUGAUUGAAUUUUUGUGCGGAUUUCAUUGUUAGGAGGCAGUGGAUUCUACAGCAGAGGAAGUCCUUACCAGUCGCUUCAGGUUUGAUUUUUUAUCGUGAAUUUUCUUUAUGUUUUUAAGAUUUGAAGCUUUUCGUAGAAUGUUGUGUGUUGUAUUUGAUGUGAGGACAAAGGGACUUUUAUUUUCUUUGUUAGCUGAUUUUUUUGUUUGUCAUGGAUGGGUGUUUCAGUCGAGAAGUGGAUUGUGGAGGAAGUGAAGAAGAAUGACACUUUAAUUGUUGUUGGAGAAACCGGAAGUGGGAAGACGACGCGUGAGUUUGCAAUGAACUUUGCUUAUUGGUGUCCUCUGUUGUUGAAUGUUCAUAAUAUAACAAACUUUUGAUAUCUUGUUAGCGAGAAGUAGUAGCACUGACAAAUAGAAAAUGCAUUGGUAUUAUAUGUUUGAAGAACAAUUUUAUUGAUCAAUUUUGUGGUAUAGCUAUAUGUCCAUAAAUUAUUAUUUUCCUUGUUCUAGAAAUGCCUUAUCUCCAUUGACCUUUGAUGCUUAAUCUUGCCAGUUCUGGAUUCAUGAGCGAAGUUGGCUCCGUGGAUGCUGUUUUCACUAGGAUUUCUUCCCUAAUUAGCUUGUAUAUUUAAACUUUUUUAUCGUUGAAAAGGAUUGUACAUCAAAUUCCAUUCUUUAAUGGUGUUACACCUAACUCGACUGUUGGCCACCACUAUGACCAGAUUUUCUCCACCAAUUGUGGUUGACUGUUGACCUCCCUUGUAUUUAUGCUAUGGCUUAGUUUAUGGAAAGAUGUUAUUGUUCAUAUGCAGAUAGAAGUGUGAUAUGGUCAUUUUAAUAUUCCUGAUAUUUUGAUGACUAUAUACAUUAGCAAUGCCUCUCGCGCUACUAUCGUCAGAUGCUUGACAUUUUUAGAAUAGAAAUUGUCACUUAGAAAGGUGCAUGAACUUCAGAUUCACUAUAUUACACACUACAAGGAAAUGCCCAAUUUCAUUAUAUUAUUCAACUUAUUCUGAUUUCUUAGGAUUUUUAAUGAGCUAGCUUUCAUUUUGUCCUUAUGCAUUGUUUUGCAACUUCGCUAUGUUGAAAAAAUGCUUUACUAGUAGCCUGAUAUCUGCUUCCUUUUUGCUGCCUUCUAUUGUUUUCCUACUUCAGCGUUGUUUACUUUCUUGCACUGGCUCAUAUAUGUAUUUCUUGCAGAAUUGCCACAGUUUUUGUACAAUGCUGGAUUUUGUCAUGAUGGGAGAGUUAUUGGCAUCACACAGCCUCGUCGAGUUGCAGCUGUUACUGUUGCAAAGCGUGUGGCUGAAGAAUGCAAUGUUGAGUUGGGCCAGAAAGUUGGGUAUUCAAUUAGAUUUGAGGAUGUCACAUCUAGCAGUACAAGGAUUAAGUACAUGACAGAUGGUUUGCUUCUGAGGUAGUUUCAUUUGAUAAGUGGUUUUUGCAUUUUUAAUGAGUAUUACAAUGUUUUCUUGUUAUACGUCAUAGAGAACCGGUAAUUCUUUGAUGACAAACAUGUCGUGCUUGAGGCUAGUUUGGCUUUAAAUUUUUUGUAUUUAAUAAUCUUUUCUGUUGAUUCUUCUGAUCUUUUUAUUUCAGAUUUUACAAAAAAUUCUGAUUCCAACACAAGAAUAUAAAUUUGGUCUAGUUAUUAUAAUUGCGGCACGGAGAACAUUGUAGGCGACUUUAUGGUAGAAAAUCUAGUGCAUUAGUAAUGAUGUUUCUGGCAUGGUAGGGAUGUGAACGGACAGAAUAAAUAGUAUCAUACCCUGAUUAUUGGAUGGACUAUUUUAAUUAUUCAAUAUCAUGCCACCAGUUUGGGCAGGAGUAGACCGUUGGAACUUGAGUAGAAAAUACUUCAGGAAGGAGCAUAUGUAUUAAUUUAAAAUGUAUGAGAGUUCUCUUCGAUAUUUGUGAAAUGGUCAUAUUGAUGACAUUGCUCUUAUUUGACGGCGUCCAUGUCUAUGGCUGAUGAAACUCGAGCAUUUGACAUGGAUUUUGAUCUAACAUCUAGUUAUGCUUUUCUUUUCAUAUAAUGAGUAUUUUUGUGCUAUCUGACCUGAAUGCCUUAAUAUUUGCAGAGAAGCACUGCUGGACGCAUAUUUGUCUAAAUACAGCAUCAUAAUUGUGGAUGAAGCUCAUGAAAGAACAGUCCACACAGAUGUCUUGUUAGGCUUAUUGAAAAAUGUACAACUAGCUAGGUCAAAUUCUAUUGUUAAGCAACAUAAUUGUGGAGAUGUGGACAACAACACACAAAAUCACAACCAAACCUCCACUUUGCGGGCGUGUCAGGCUUUGAAGUAUACUCCUUUAAAAUUGAUUAUAAUGUCUGCCAGUUUGGAUGCUAGAGGUUUUUCAGAGUACUUUGGUGGUGCUAAAGCAGUUUACGUUCAAGGGCGACAAUACCCUGUAGAGAUUCUAUAUACAUAUCAACCAGAAAAAGAUUAUCCAGAUGCCACACUGAUUACUAUCUUUCAGGUUUAUUGACCUCUUAUUUACAUGGUGAUCUUACUUUCUUUUAUUAUGCUUUAAACUGCAAGCUAGACCAGGAAGUUUGCUGUCCUUCUCUUUUAUUUUCAAGAUAAAACUACUUCCUUAUCAAUGGAGGGAAAUGGGUUCUUUGAAGUUUCAUCCAUGUUGACGAAUAGAAUAACACCCAAUGCAAGCCAUCUUGAAAAACAUAGAAAAGGGCUCCAAUACGAAAAAAAGUGGGCACCUAUCUUACACACACUUAAACACACAAAAAAGAGAAAAAAGAAAAAAAGAAAAAAACUAGCUACCUUACAAAAAAAAAGAAAAAGAAAAAGAAAAAGAAACACAAUUUAUGAAAUCAAAUUAUCUUUCUAUUACCGACUGUCCCUAGCGCAAGUGGCAAAGGGCUUUGUGGUUGGUACCCGAGGUUCCAAGUUCGAAGCCUAGUUGCUUUACAUUUUCAACUAAGUUUAUUUCUAAAAAAAAUAAACGAAGCGGAUAGCACGUUGCCUUUCUCUCAAAAAAAAAAAAAACCUUUCUAUUUUCUUGAUGUUGUUUUUCGAGCUUUGGAUAUAUCCUUCCAUUUCAUGGUGUCUCCAUGAGCUGUUCAUGUGUCAUAUGGAAGCUGAUCUAUGAAAGUUAAUCUGUUAUUUAUAAGUAUUAUCUUUUAGUCUUAAGCUCAUGCUUGUAAUGUUUCUUUCUUUCUUAGAUCCACAUAGAGGAGGGGCCUGGAGAUAUUCUUGCAUUUCUAACUGGCCAAGAGGAGAUUGAAUCAAUGGAUAGACUUAUUCACGAGCGAGUUCGUCAACUCCCUGAAGGCAGUAAUAAAUUAAUCACUGCUCCUAUCCAUUCCUCUCUUCCUUCUGAGCAGCAAAUGAAUGUUUUCAAGCCUGCCCCAUCCGGCUUUCGCAAGGUAAGUCUAAUUGCUAUCACCAAAAAGAAAGAUUUUUCCCUUGAGCUUUGAUUUUACUCUGAAAUUUGUAUUAGUUUUUGUUUACUUAUGACAUGAAGUUACUAACGCUAUAUACUAAAUCUAGGGUUUAUUUAUGUCAUGACUUACUGACCUGAAAAACUGAAUCAAGAACUUAUAUAGUUUUGUAACAUUAUGGUAGCGUAGGUAUAUAUCUCGCUUUUGUUCUUUUUGUACUAACAGAAGCUAGUGAAGGAAAAAUUGUAGACUUCGUUUAGUUUAUAACAUUGUAGUAGUGUGAGCUUUAUCUGGUUUUAUCACUUUACAAUACCGCAGAGAAAAGAAACAAAAGAAACAAAAUGUUAGCAUUCCUAGCUAUACAGGGUUGCCUGUAUAAGCUAUUUAUUUUUACCUUGUAGAAGAUCUUUUUCCCAAACCAAGUGCUACCAAGCCUUUUCUUGUCACAUUUUGCUAUAUAAUCUUAUCCUUCUCCCUUCUCCCAAGACAACUAUCACUUCAAUUAAAAAAUAAAAUUAGAAGAUUGGAAUCAUUGGAUCAUGCAAGGGGAAUUUAUAUAUAGAACUCUGUUGGCUAUGUAAUACGGUAUCUUAUAAUUGAUUGUCAUGUAGAGUGAAAAUUAAAAGAAUGUCAAAUAGGAUGCUCUGAGGUUUUAGAGCUGAUGUAGCAUUUAUUACAUGUUUUCCUUUUCCUGUCAAAGUCAAGUGUGGGCCAAAUUUGUAGGCAAUGAAGAGUAAUUAGGGAAUAUUGAAGGGUUUGUCAUGCACUUUCUCUGUUUCCCUCUUAUUGUGCUUUCUUCCUCUUUGGUCUCACUUGAUUUGGAUAAUAAAAAAACUAGUGACACAUCAGAUGCAUAACUUAAAAAGUAAAGCAUCAAAUAGGCCAGAUUUCGUUCGGUUCGAUUGUACGUUAUCUUAUAUAGCAAACUAACCUAAUGCUUAAUUUCAGUAGAUUGGUUAUUCAUUCUAUGAAAGUCUCCAUGCACAGAUGGUAGGUCUAGUCUCCCAUUUGGUCAGAUGUGGUUUCUGCUGAUCCUCUUGGUUUUGAGGACCAAUAAACAUGACUUAAUAAUUUUGAUUUCUGAUUUUUAAAGCAGAGUCGAAUUGACAUAAAAACCUAUAUAAACAGAAGUUUGAAAAACUGAUGCUUUUGUAUGGUUCACAUGCACUUUCUAGAUUGUAGUUGCGGGCUCAAAUAUUUGUCAACGCCUCAAAGGUUGUGCAGAAAAAUUUCUCUCGGUUAAGGAAAAAAUUGAAACUUAAUAAAUUUAAAUUAAAUGAGAAAAGCCAAAUAAAUAAUUCAACACAAAUACUAAGCAUCAUAAAACAAAAAAAAGGGAUGCUGUUAAUAUGAUUUAUAACUUUAGAUUUGUAGUGACUAAAAUAUUAUAUGCAGUUAUAUUUGGAAGCUUGGUUUUGAUGUCUAAGCUGGGCUUCUGUUUAGUAUGCUAGGUUUCUUUUAUUGUGCUACAUCUUUUCCUUGGAUUAUCUUAUUUUCAUCUUGUUGUUGGUUUAUUUGUUUUGAAUUUGCAACUACAGGGGGUGUUUUCAUGAUUUUUGUGGCACUAAUUGUUUUAUUCGUUUCUUAGGUUAUUCUUGCAACAAAUAUUGCUGAGACUUCUGUAACAAUACCUGGUAUAAAGUAUGUCAUUGAUCCUGGAUGGGUGAAAGUUCGUUCUUACAACCCAGUGACAGGAAUGGAGUCAUUAACCAUCAGUGAAAUCUCAAAAGCACAGGCUCUUCAGAGGAGGUAAAAAUGUUAGGCAUUUUCAUGUUUUGACCUACAGGAUGAUGAUAAGAAUUUGGUUUCACCUAUUGGAUAUCACCAUUGUUCAUAAUGCGUUUUUUUGUCUAAUUCGGCUAAAUAUUGCUGUGCUAGAGUAAUCGUCUUAUGAUGUGCGUAUUUGUCAUGUGUCAUAUUUUUGCUUUAGGAACUGUUGAUUUUCAUGUUUUGUUAAUAUUUACAUUUUGGUUAUAACUAAAGAUGUUAGUAUUGUACUUAUUAGUUAAUAAUUAUAUGGAAGAGAGUGCUAAUUUGAUCGCCUUGAUUUCGUUUUUACUUGAAUGUGGGCAUGUUGUAGCCUGAUGCUAUCUUGAUUCGUGGAAACAAAGAUUUAUUUCUUGGUUAGAUCGACUUCAAAAAUCCUUCUUAGAGCCUUGAAUCUUGACCUGGCUAGUUGUUUAGCGUUUUCAUGUGAAUAGCAAUUUCUUGAUUUGUAUGGGGCGUUGGAUGUCAUCAAAUCAAUGCUAUUCACUAAUGAAUGAAUCCUCUAUCAAAAGAGGUUUUUCAUCCCUUUGACGUUGCCAAUUUACUAUUACAUUUUUGAAUAUGCCUCGUUCAUUACUCUACUGUCGGUAAUGAAAUUGUUUACCAAUUUACAUGUAUUCUUAUUGUUCUUUCAAAUUUUAUUGCUUCAAAACAUAAAAAAAUAGAGAUGCUAAAUGCCAUUGAAAUCCUUUUCAUGCUGUUGCUGAAAGCCUGUAUAUCAGUUGUCUAAAUUGUUGCAUAUGAUCUUGCAUGUGGUUUACUUGACCUGACCAGAAAGAUAAGUCAAUCUGUUUGUUUACUAACUUGCUUGAUAAAUGACUAGGAUAUGAAACUAAAUAUUUUCUUACCACACUUUGUUCGUGUUGCAUGUAGUGGUCGCGCUGGUCGGGAGGGCCCAGGGAAAUGUUUUCGGUUGUAUACAGAAAGUGCCUUUAGUGAACUGAAGGAUUCUACAGUUCCAGAGAUCAAAAGGUGCAACCUUGCGAAUGUUGUACUACAGCUCAAAGCCCUUGGGAUUGAUGAUAUAUUAGGGUUUGAUUUCAUGGAAAAGCCUUCAAGGUGAAUUCUGAUAUCUUUUUUAAGAUGUAUGUUGUCUAUGGCUUGGUUUUCUGAGGGGCUGAAGUCUUGGCUUGGUUUUCUGAAAGAAACACUCCCUUUUCACCAAAGUUGGAAAAUUAUUUCAGUCGUUCCAAUGCUUUUCCUUCUAAUGGAAAGACCUUCAAUUUCAUUAAUGGGAAAUUGAAUUUUAUCCAUUUUCUCUGCUGUUCUCCAGGCAAACUACCUUCUUACAUCAUGGGAAAAUGAAACUUUAUUAAAUUUAAUCACUUUCAUUAGAAUAAUAACCUUGUGGUCAGGAAGCUGCUUUACUUACACAUGGGAAGCUGCUUUUGAAUUACACAUUGUGUGCACGGAAGAAAACAAAAAUGUCCUUACUUUGGUCAAAUAUUGGAAAGCAUUCCUAAUUUGUUUGAGUGAUUUGUUCUGCUGAAUGUUUCUUGGAGGUCUAAUAAUUUCUUACGCUAGUUACCAAUAUGUUUGAUGUCUUAUUUGCAGGACAGCUAUAGUGAAAUCUCUGGAGCAGUUGCUCCUACAAGGGGCUCUGACGGAUGACUGCAAGCUGUCAGAUCCAGUUGGCCAUCAAAUGGCCAGGCUUCCUUUGGACCCUAUGUACUCUAAGGCACUCAUCGUGGCCAGCGAGUUCAAGUGCUUGGAAGAAAUGUUGAUAGCGGUUUCAAUGCUUUCUGUGGAAUCUAUUUUCUACUCUCCUCGUGAUAAGAUGGAAGAGGUAUGCACUAUAGUGCUGGAUAUAUUGACAAGCUGAGUCAUCUACUUGGGUGACUCAGUUUAGUCUAUUUAGCUUCUUUUUCUUACACUUUGGCUGGUGCCUUUGUAUUCUCGCUUUUACUUAUACUUUUAGCUUCAGGCACAAAUAGAAAAGAUUGAAGUUAUUGGUGCGGCAAGAAACUAAAAUGAGAUUCAAAGUCCUAAAAGAGAAGUUCUUAUUUGGAAUUUCUACUUCUUUUACAGACAGAAGCUACAUGUGUCAUUUUUAUGAAGUACUUCCUCUAGUAGUACAAUUUAAACAUUGAUGAGUGCUUCCUCUUGUAGUACAGUUUAAACAUCACUUCAUCGAAUAGUACUAUAUCCCUGCAAUACCACCAAAAAGACCGUUAUUUAAUAAUGCCCUAUGUAUCAUGGAUGCGGCUAUAAGCCUCGCUUAUCCGUAUCAGACACGUGUGUCCAUGUUGGACUCAUGUCCAAUGCUGACGUGCCAUGGAUGAGCGUGGAAUCCGAUGAGGACGCGUGACACGCGUCUAUGACGCAUCCCAUAAAAAAUAUAUUUUUUUAUUUUACUAUUUUAUGUGUAUAUUAUGUAAGAUGAUUAUAUUUUGGGUUUUUGAUGAAUGCUUACGAACUCUUUUUGGACGAUAUAAAUAAAUUAUGUAUGAUGGAGAAUUUCUUUCUUUAGUAUAUAUGAACUAUCAAUGUGAAUUUUACCAACUUUAAUUCGUAUGAGAAAUAUAACAAAUAUUUAGCAAAAUUAAUAUUUUAUAUAUAAUUAACAUAUAUUAUUAUUAAUGAUAUGGGGCUUUUGCUUAUAUUCCCCUUACUAUUAUUAAAAAUUUUCAAGUUUAACCCUCAAUAUCCAAAAUACCCUAGAGGGAAAGGAUAUAUUUGAAGGAAUUUUUUGAAAAGAAUAAGGGCAUUUUGGUUAUCUAGGGAUAAAUAUGAUAUAUUUGAACUUUUGAAAGGCAUAUUAGAUAUUAUCCCUAAUAAUAUUAUAGAUAUUAUUAGCUAUGUCCGUGUCGUGAGCGUGUCCUAAUUUUAAUUAAGUUGUUGAGUCAGCGUGACCGAGUUGUGUCGUGUCCCGUAUCUCGUAUCCGUGCUUGUAUCCGUGUCCUUGACGCCUAGAUAAUGCCUAACACGGCUGAAUCACAUAAACUGAAACUCUGGGAAACUAUUAUGGACACAUGUAUCCCAAUAUAUGUCUUGAAUCAUAUCCUGAUAUUGUACUUUUUUUACAUGAAACAAAGAAGAAUUAUAUGCAAUAAUCUUAUUUUAGUUUCAUUUGUCUUAUUUCUUGCAUAGGCAAAUGCUGCAAAGAAGAGAUUUUCAAGCCCCGAAGGGGACCAUAUUGCUUUGGUGAAUGUAUAUCGGGCAUCUGCGGAAUGCUUGGAGAAAAGAAACAAUGCAAAGAUGAAAGAGAAAGCGGUGGAAAAGGCUCUAAACAAAUGGUGCAGGGAGAACUUCAUCAACUACCGUGCUCUAAGGCAUGCUCGAGAUGUUCACAGGUUAGCUGCAUUAUUCUCGUCCUUAUUUUUGGUUACGAAGGGCUUACCCUUCUUGAUGUACUUGCAUCAGCGUUUCAUUUUCAUUCAAACAUUUGUCUUCAUUCAACUCAUGUAUCGGGAGAUAGUACUGUUUUGAAUGAGGGAAAAUUGGAGUAAAUAUUUGGCCAAAAUAAAUGCUUUGGGAGAUAUUUACCGAUUUGCUAGGCAAUUGUGGCCUUUGUGAUACCUGAAGAUGGGAGCAUCAAAAACCAACUUACCGAAGAAAUUCAAGUUAUUCAAAACUCAUUAGAUGUUAGAUUUGCAUAAUAGCUCGUUGUAAUACUUGGCAAAUGUUUUUUGGCGUUGUUGUCAUUCAUCUGAUAUUGUCAUCAGUUUAGUUCCUAAAGCUGAAAAUUGGACCUAUUUUUUCUUUUAUUUUCAAAUUUGGAGGAUGAUCCCUUUGCAUAACUUGUUUAUUCAUUUAUUUUUUUUUGUUUUAUCUUUUUGCAAUUUCACAGUCAAAUCAAAGGGCAUGUAGAGCAUAUGGGCCUUGUUCUGUCAUCAUGUGGGGAUGACAUGCUUCAAUUCCGCAGAUGCCUUACUGCCUCUUUCUUCCUCAAUGUAGCAAGGAGAGGACCAGAUAGAUCAUACAGGUUUGUUUUUAACCUACAAGUUAACUUAAGGAAAUUGAUGUAAAGCCACUGAAAGAGAGAAUAUUGUGGUCUACACACGUGGUCAAUUGUUUCUUGGUCGGCGGACUAGAUAUAUUAUAUAGGUUUGUUUUUAACACCAUAGAAGUAAAUGUAAGGAAAUUGAUGUAAGCCAAUGAAAGAGAAGUUUUUGGUCUUAGUCACCUGGUCAUUUGUUUCAUGAUCCAAUAAGCAUCUAGUCAAUCAACCCAAUAACAGCACAAACUAAUUGCAUUUCAAUAUUUGUUGCAUAUCCUGGGUAGAAUACGAAAUUACUUGAACUGAGGUAUAUUGCUCUGCGCCUUUAACAUAAGCAGUGGACACCCUAAGCUCACUUAAGUGCUUUCCUACGGUUGUUCAACUCCCAUUGAGACCAAACUUGGAAUUGUAUUCUCCCAAAGCAGCUGCUUUAAUGCUUUAUACUCCCACAAAAACUGUAAGUGCUAGGAAGCUCUACGCUUUCAAUGCUAUAGAAUGGCGGUGGAAACCUCUACUGGAAAAACUUCUCACCUGAUGAUUCUGAGGUGGAGGCUUCCCACUGUCAUUUCUCAGUGCCGGAAGAUCGGAGUUUGUUCCAAGUGCUUUUGAAUGUAUUGAGCACUGUAAAGCAUCAAAGUGUUUCCAAACUAGUCUGGACAGUUUAGCAGAAAUAUCAAUGCGGCUACCACAGAUAAUAGCCGCAGUGACUUUUCGUUUAGAAUGAAAAAGUAGCCAUGUUCGCUUCAUGGUCCGACUUAAUGGAAUUGAUGAAAGGAACGAUAACGAAACACUUAAAUUAGUGCAGUUGUUGAGUGCUUCAAUUUAAAAGUUGAGAACUUAAUUGAAAUUUACUUGCAUGCUCAUCUCAAUAGAACCAGUGCGUGAUUUCUCGAAUUAUGUAUUCUUGUUUAAUCAUUAAGAUUUAAGUAUGAAAGUUUCAUUGACUAUCUGAAGCCAUUUAAUUUCUGUUACAUGUAUGUAUAUGGUCUCUGUUGGCCUCACUCCCAAUGUUUUUCAGGACUACGGCUAGUGGUCAGAGCGUGCAUAUCCAUCCUUCUUCGGUAUUAUCUGAAAUAAAGCCAAAGCCGGAUUGCAUCAUCUUCAACGAAUUAGUUUACACAACUCAAAAUUAUGUCAGAAAUGUGACGAGGAUAGAUCCAUUGUGGUUGCCCGAACUAGCUCCUCAGUAUUAUGCUGCUGAAAGUUAAUCUUAUUAUGUUGUAUUUAUUUCCAUUGCCUCAAUACAACUUGGCAGCAUAGAUGUUUCUUCCUUUCCUUGUAUGAUAUAACAUUUUUGUAUCAUUAUUGAGUAAUUAUUUAAUGCAUCAUUGAUCUGGAUGUGAAAUGUGAAUUACAUUCAGCUGGAACGGGUUAAGUUGUUUAGUGCCAAGGGCAUAACUUAAUCCUUUACCAACUCACCCAAUUGAAGUUUUCGGACUAUUUUCAGCUGAUGAUUAAUCCUUUCUUCUUCUUCUUAUUCUUCUCCUUCUUCUACUUCUCUACAGCCAUCUGCAGUUGGCUAGAAACCAGAAGCACCUUUCCUUUCCUUCUCCUUUCCUGCUGGCUGGAUAUGCGCAUCAACACCUGCAAUCCGACAAUGCAACAGCAGCUGCAGCUAGGCAAUCAGCAUUAGUGGCAGCCUGGCAGCAGUCAGUGCAGGAUUUCUGAGGGCCCAGUUGCUGGGAUCUUGUUUCUUUGUAUUCUUGAUGAAGAGGAGAGCUUGAGGAAAGAAUUAAUUCAGCUAAUUUGUAAUAAGUUGAGUUCAACUACCGAAUUGGUGAUUAGUGCUGAAAUUUUUAGAUUCGAGCUGGACUUUGGACAAUUCUUUGAUUUUGAUGACAUUCUUUCGGAAAUCUUCUUUUUGCCGAACUUUAGAAGAGUUGGGGACAAGCUUCCCUUCAGCCAGAGCUAGAGAGGAGCCUGCAUUAUUGGUUGUGUUGGUGUGAUUUUCUUUGGGUUUUACAAACCAAAAUGAGAAUUGCUGGAAUUUCUAUUGAUUCUCGAGUUUUAAUGGAAUUUCUUAUAUUUAGUCCAAUUACCUAAGCCUGGAUGACUUGAUUUUGAUCUUCGCUUCAUCUACGACUAGUUGGGAUCUUAUUUGAGCUGAUUUGAAGGUUAGUAGUGAGGGGAUUUUGGUUUUACUCGAGUGCCAACCGAAGUGGCCAUAUGCUGAUUUUAUCAUUGUUAAUCCAAUUCCAACUUAUUGUACUGUGAUUUAUUGGUUUAAAUUGGACGUUUUCAGUGUUUUGGAGCUGAGGAUCACCCAGGUUACAUUCCCCUUUCCUCCCUCGGGUUGUGCUCCUUCCUACGAGUCAUAGGAGCUGCAGCAACAUCAACAUCAACAUCAACAUUCUGCAUCAGCAGAAUUUCAGCAGCCUGUAGCUGAGUUCAAGAUGGAAUUUUUGGAGAUUUUGAAAUCAAAAUUGCUGGGGAAUUGGUUGUUUGCAUUCUUGGUAAAGAGAUGACUUGUGGAGUGUUUUAAUUCAGCAAUUGACCUAGUAUGUUACGUUUAAUUCUUGAUAUGGUAAAGGUCGCUAAAAUUCAGGUUCUAUGCUGAAUUUUGAGCCAGCUGAAUUCUUGAGGGAAUUUCUUUUAAUUUACCCAUAAAUCUAAGCUUUAGAAAGAUUGGGAGUGAUCUUACAUUCAUCUAGAGUUGGUGGGAAUUUCGUUUGAACGGAUUUGAAGGUCAGAUAUUGCUGAAUUUCAGCUUUCAUUGUGGUCUUCAUUCGAGAAAGAGAUUUUUGGUUGAAGCUUAGUUCUUGGAUCUUAUUCCACCUUUGAGCUAAAAGUUUAUGGUAAUUAAGAGACCAGAUGUCACGCCCCGGGGCCAAUUUCAAAAGUCUUUUUAUAAUGAAUAUAAUUUUUUGAAAUCAGAGUUGCGGAAAAUAUGCCUUUUUUUUUUUGAAUUCAACUUAGCCCACGUGACGUACAGACCCGCCACAAAUACAAAGUUCCUCUGACCGCACGAACAGAGUCUCCUUUGUAUUUGCACAGUGUACUAACAGCAACAUCAGAAUCACAACCACAAUCUACAUUCACCAAUCCACAAACAAUCCAUGCAAUGCAUUUCCAUACAGCUAGCAAUCCUUAGGGAUGAUACAUGCCUCUAAACACUCCUUAGGAGCUGGAUGAUGCGAUGCACAAUACAACAGUCAUCCUAUUUAAAAGUGCUUCCCACCCGAAAGCUUUGUUUUUAAGCUCUAUUUAAUCAUUCAUAAAACCAUUCGAAAAAAUAUUUUUAAAACUGUUUCUCACUCGGAAACUUCAUUUUGAAAACCGACUACCUCGAGGGAUAGAAAGCCACAGUGCAUAAAUACAUAAAUCCAAAAACCAAAUAAUCAUAAAUCCCCAAUUGCAUGCUUAAUAGGAAAUCAUCAACUCAGACAGUUCACAAACAUUCAAACAGCAAUAGUGAUUAUCUAACUAAACCAUUUAAUUAUUUAAAUUACUAAAAGCGAAAAUAAAAGUAACCCGGUGACGAUUGCUACCGCAAUCUAAUUAGAACGUCCUCCCGUCGCGCCAAAAGCCAACUCCUUAUCCGAACCACCUAGAAAAAAGGGGGAGGUAAGAAACCACAAUCAAGAUUUUCCAGUGGGUACGACAGAGCCACGAAGGAAAAUCGUAAUUACCGAAAAACAGAGGUAAGGUAAACAGAGUACAGGUGCUAUGAUACGAAAGAGAACUACUGUCACGCCCUGAGACCGCCAGUUUGGCUAAUUCGGGCGCGUCAAACAGACGCCGAACGAACAGCACCUCCCAUAUCCGCCCAAGACUCAACCACGAGAUCAUGUACAAGAAUUCGCCCAGGAACAAUUCAAUGCAUACAUGAUCCAAUCCAACAAGGAGAGAAGCACCACAAGUGCUAUACAACAAAAGCAAGUAACACAAGUAUACACACAAGUGCACAAAAGAGAGAUUCUAUCUAUUACAUCCAUUCAUCCAUAUACAAUCGAUUUACAUCUACAUUUGUAUCUUCCAAAAUAUAGGUACAAGUUCAUCUCAUCAUAAUAUAAGUAUGAAUACAACUCUUCAAAAGCACCUCACCACCUAUACAUAAUCUCUGCUCUCAUAUAUAUAUAUAGAGUGCUACUAAUACAAAAGGAAGGCCUCUACUACCAAUAGGGCGCUAUGCCCUUACCACGGUCCUUGCCCGGCGCGCUCGUGCUCGGUCCUGCAACACAGUGGGAUGAGAACUAUUGUCCAUAGUUCUCAGUAGGUUCGGCCGCCGACUCAGCCAAUCUCCCCACUAGGUCUAGUGGGCACAGGCAGAUAGAUAGGUAGAUAGACAUGUGAAAGCAGUAACGACAUAGUAAGAAAGCUACACUACUAUACCCAAAUCAUAUAUAGAUGCAUGCACAAUGUGAUAGGUAAUCAGCUAACAUGCUACUAUGUCCAAGAAGUAAUGCUAUUUUCUUGUUCAUCCAAUCUCUUGGUUUACCCGAAGGUUCGCCCACGACUCACAUAGCCAUCUCGUAAGGUAAGGAGACUCAACUCGCUCAACAAACCCGAGACCGUCUGCGGGACCCCAUAAGGCUAUCCCUCGGAACCCCAUAAGGCUAUCCCUCGUGUGACAAACUCCGGAGCGUACGCUUAUGUGGAGCGACCACCACAAGUUCUGAACAGACAUGUGAAUAUGAUCCAAUCCUCUCAACUCGAGGAUACCCUAUCCACUAGGGCUAAUAGUCACUCGGGAAUCCACCUAUCCCAAUGUUCAUAUGCAAGUGUUUAACUACACUAAGUUCUUGUUCAAUGACUCAUCACUAGGAAAUCCGCCUAUCCCUAAGUUCACACAUCAGUGUGUCACUCUACACUAAGUUGUAUGCCACUCGUUCUGUUAUCAUUUGUUAGUUACAUGCUACUCGUUAUGUCUUUAUCAAACCAUCGAGUCCAUCUCUUAUCUCAGCACUAUAGGAUUCAAUGCCUCGACCUAAUCCUUAUCUAUCCAUUAUAUCAAGCAUUCAACUCACAUUAUGAUAUCAUCUAGGAAGGUAUAAGGAAAUGGCAAUGCACAUAUUAUCCUACCAUGCAUAUAUGUAAGAGAUGCAAGAUUUCAAUGCACUAGGACAUAAAGAGGAGCCCGGUUGUUUCGGGAUGACACCACCCACCUUCUGGCGUUGUCACGAUUCUAGAAAUGCGAUUCGGCGACUUUACAACGUCGUAUCGGCCUCCCAGGCGAAAACGAAGCUUGGAAGGUCUCUUUUGCCGAUAACUUUGCACAAGUUCGACGAAUCGUCGAACUGACUUCGCCGACACGUCGGAAAGCCUAUCAAUUAGGUUUACACAUGAUCUAAUUAAAUCAAACUCUUACUUUUAGCAAAACCCCAUUUUGGAGCCCUAGAUUGCUACUAAUGCAAAAUACUCGAACAAAGCCCUAGAUUCAUGCAUUUAGCAUCAAUUAGGCAUGCUAGGAUUCCAACUAAUCCAUUUCUAAAUCUUAUAAUCCAAAAUCUAAAAAUCUACCAUUGUAGCUCAAUGGAGCUUACCUCUCUAGCUUGCUCUCAAGGUGGAGAAGAUGAUGAUGAAGAUGAAGAUCCUUCCCUUGGCUUCAAUCUCCACCAAAUCCUCCUCCUUCUUCACCUUCUAGAGAGAGAGAAAGAGCUUAGAGAGAGAGGGGGAGUGUUUUUGGUGUAGGGUUAGGGAAAUGAGGAAAAGAGAGAGAGGGAUGGCCCUCAAGUAGCCCUCAUAAUGCACAAUUGCUGAAAACCCCCUCCACAAUGCAAGUUAUGCACAGCCCAACCCAGGGCAUUUUCGGGUACAGGGAUCGGUCUAUCCCUAGAGGGACCGAUCCCCGAGAGCAAACUUUGCGAGCAGAGUAAUUCUGCCAAUUUUACGCGUAUGGGGACCGGUCCUUCAAUCUUGAGGGACCGGACCCCGAGAGCGAUUCUGUGUGUAGCAUUUUUCUGCCGCUCACCAAGCUUACGGGAACCGGUCCCUCCGCCAGGGACCGGUCCCCGAGAGCAAAUUCUGCAAGUAUGCAGAAUCAUACCAGCUUGCUCUCCGAGGCCCUUUCCAAUGCACUUUAUGCAUUUUCGACGCCUUCGGCCUCUCCGAAGCGUGCCGAACUCAACUUCGAUCAAUUUCGAUGAUAAGGGACAAGUAAUAAUAACUGCUACUGUAAGGAAUACAAUGCUGAGCAUGCCUCAAGGUAACCAACUCAAAAUUGUACCCAAUCUGGUGCCUGCGAUAUUGGUCCGCAGACCUUAGGCGUUGCUUGUCACAUUACCUGCACCGACUCGUGAUUCAUGCGCUCACUGGACGACCUAUCCGGAUAGUACACCCCUGGUCGGUGGCCAAACCGACCUGGUGUCAAUGAAUACACCGAAGUGCUGUGACUGAAUCAUGCUGAUAUGCUCACUGCGAGGCAGAAAGCCGGUGCCUUGGCCGAAGCCAAAUACAAGGGCGUACAAUCCCAAACCACGAUCAAUUAGAUCAAAACACACGACAAAGGAGUCGAUGUGUUGCCUGGACCCAAGGUCCAUAGAUAUACAAAAUGUGCAAAUCUGCUCUACAUGUCUAUCAACAACUAUCAUCAUGAAAUCAAUAAGAUAUAGAUGAACGAACGAUAAACAAAACAACCGACAUGUAGAGACUACAAUGCUGAUAAAGAAGAACAGAGGAAGGUGAAAUGAUCUCACCGACUAUCAGCUCGAAGCACCCACAUGUACUAAUGUUGCGCCUGUCUCCAAACUGUACACGAUCAUCAACCGGACCUACGAAGGUCCACCGGGUUAGUAACCAACCCACAAAACCAGAAUACGUGACUCACAAACCCCACACAAAUCCCAAAUAUCAGUUUCCCAAAAUCGAUCACCGUAACUCGCCGGAAGCCCUGAAAAUCACACCGGAACGCCGUCGGGACCCACUAAGUGUCCCGAAACUCACCGACUCAUACCUCGAGUCACCCACUGUCAUAAAACACAUCGAUUUGGAUAUCUUGGUAGCAAACACAAGAUAACACAACCAAACAAUUAUCACCGGAUAAUUAUUCGGGUUCAGGUCCGAGUUUCCGGAAGUGUCAAUUUCGACACCGGAACCCACAGUCGCUCACCUGUCAUCUCCAAACUCACGAUAUGACGAUGGUGACUAGCCAACAAGGCUUAGCGGCUUAGCGACACAACUCAAGGCAAACAAACAUCGUCGGAUGAAAUCCAAAUCGAAACCGCGUUCCGCUGGCGAAUUUCGCCGAAAAACGCACCGAAAUCAACCUCCAAUUUUCGCGAAGGCUAACGGACCUUGGAUGAUCAGUUCAGAGGUCACCUACCACACGUACGUACUGCCCACAGUAGCCACAAUAUGCACAAUUGCAUAAAAGUCCCUACAUUUACAUAAAAUCCUAUUGUUUUAUGUAAAUGAGGUGAUUUUGUGGCUCGUUAACGCAAACCGAGGACUUCUGAGGUCCGCGAGACACGUACUGACAGGUCUCGAUGUGCCGGAGGCCGUGCUCACGAUCCGGAGCAAAACGCCUCACUGUGGGAGGCGCAGGAGCGAUCCAAAAAUUCUGCGAACCGUGCGCACUCGGGGAAAAUCGCGCCGAAAAAGCCAAUUCGGAACACGUUGAUUCAAAGUGAGGUGAGCACUAUGAUCAGAACUGAUCAGCGAUCACCAUGCUCACUUCCAGAGGCAUUGGGACAGCCUCAGAUCACCAGAAAAAUAAGCGCAAACCCAAAACCAUGCACAGACAGCAUUAAAUGAGGCUCACCGGGCAGAGGAGCUAGGAUUCGGCCGGCGGCGGCUCGGCGGCGGGAGCGCCAGCGACAGGAGGGUGCGGCCAGUGUGGGGAGGUCGCCGCUCACGCGAGACGCCGGCGAGAGGCGGCCGGAGAGGCGGGCGGCGAUGUCCUAGCCCAUUCAAGGAGAGGGGAGCUUGGGCUCGGCUCCUCCGGCGACGGCGACCUCGGGGCGGCGCCGAUCAGCGGCGAGGGUCCCCCGGGGUCAUAAGGAGGAGAAGGGAGGCGGCGGGCGACGGCGGCGGCCGCCCGCAGCUCGGGCGCAGCCGCCCGAGCUCGGCUCGAUCUGCAGACCACGGCGGUGACACCCAAGGCGUGUGGCGGCGGAGGCGAUCGCUCUAGCCGCACCGGUGGGGGCCGGAGGGUCGCGGGGGUGGUCGCCGGUGCGGCUCCAGGCAGCAACGGUGCGGAGGAAAAAUGGCAACUCAGCUCGACCCCCAGCUCGGCCCCCAGCUCGCAGGGUCGUCGCAGCGCGACGACGGUGCUCGGGGCGGCUGAGGCCGACGGCGGAGGUCGCCAGGGUGGCGGGGGCGGCCUCAGGUGGUGGCGGUGCACGAGCUAGGAGCUACAAGGUCACCUCGGCCGAGCAGGCGCAACUAAGUCGCAAGGUGGCUGCAGCGCGGCGGCGGCGUUCGAGGGCGGCAGCAGUCGACGGGGAGGGACAUGUCCGACAGCAGGCGACCACUAAAGGCCAAGGGAGGAGGGUUCGGGUCCCCCUUUUAGCUCGACUCAAGAAUGGGUGAAGAAGUUGGUGGAAAAGGAGAGGGAGAGAGAGAAAAGUGGGUGAGGGAGGACGUGGCCGGCCGGAACUCUGUUGGCAGCAGCCGGUAGGUGUGCGGCGCACGAGGUAAGGGGGGGAGGGCGGCUAGGUUAGCUAGGGGCUAAUGGGGGCUAGGGUUUGCAUGGUGCAAACCCUAGAAGACUAUAUAUACAAGUGCUCGUUUUGCACAAAAGUCCUUCGAAAACCCGAUAUUUAGAACCGAGUCCCUCAUAGCGCGAGUAAAACGCGCGAACACACCACCAAAUUCAAUUUCGCACAAAACGGUACAUAAAAUGUAGAGCUUUCCCGCUUGAUCGCAUCUGUAGCACUUCCCUUGGCGCCGCUCGCAAUGUGUCGGUUGGUGAUCUCUACCACAAAUGACACACUGCUGCGCCCCACAGCCCUUGGACUGCGCUUGCGGAUACUUCGGGGACUUCUUAGAACUCGAUUGUCCCCCCGAACCACCGCCGGGCCAUUUCUUCCCCUUGUCCUUCUCGAACGCCUCGCGCUCAUCCCGCACGCAAGUGUUCCCAUGCUCAACCCACAGGGCACGAUCCAACAUUUCUGCAAAGGUGCGGAACUUAAAAGCAUGCACCAUUCGGAAUAUAUCGGGCCGGAGUCCCCGUACAAAGCACUCCACCCGGUCCUACUCGGUCCGCACCACAUCCGAAACGCAAUUCAGGAAAUGAGUGAACUCCCGCUCGUACUCCCGAACUGUACAGUUGGCUUGCUUAAGCUUCCGAAAAUCCUCCCGCAUCUUUCUCUUUUCACUGUCGGGAAAAUACUUGGCGAACAUUAACCCUCUCCUCCCAAUCGAUCGGGGGAAGGUCCGGAGAUCGAUCCUGCUUCACCCUCCUCAACCACACUCGAGCCCUAUUCUCAAAGCAAUAAGCGGCUACGUAAGGUACCGGACUUCUAAAAUUACGAAGUUACGGUGUACAUUCGGUUGACAAGCCAUUUGAAUCGUCCCGGUGAGGUUCGGUGAAGUUCGGUGAAGUUCUGGAGCAAUCGGGCGUUUCGGUGCGCGUAGGCACGAAAACGAAACCCGAAAGGCUAUGUUGGGCCGUGAGUUAAAUCCGGCAUUAGCGUGGAUGGAAAGAUGAUGAAAACGUGCUCGAAAAUAUGUUUGGAGAGUCUCGGUUCGAUUUGAAAAGAAUCGGAAGUCAAGCGAGCGAAAACGAGCGAAAACAGACGAAAAGCUGAAAUUUGGCUAAGUCUGGAAUUUUGACCUACGGGGACGGGUCCCUCAGCCAGGGACUGGUCUCUCAAGGACCAGUCCCUCAUGCAAGGACCGGUCCCCGUAGCCCAAAAAUGCCCAGUUCGGGCUGUUGCAAGAGAGGCAUUGUUGAGGGGCUUAUUUGCAUUUUGUGCAUGGGUUGAGUGUAUAGAGAGGGUUAGAACCUCUCUCUCUCUCUUUCCCUCACCGUUUCAUCCCUCUUUCUCUCUCUAGACGAAAGAAAAGAAGAAGAAGAGAAAGAAGAGAAGAAGAAGAAGAAGAAGAAGAAGAAGAAGAAGAGAAAGGAGAAUAAGGAGAGGCAAGUGGAGAGCUUCCCCUCCAUCAUCUUCUUCUUCCUUGUGCUUGGAGAAGCUUGGAGAGGUAACCUUCUUAGCCCUCUCAUGGUAGAUCCCUAGAUAUGUGGUUUUGACCUCUGGAAAUGGUUUGAUUGAAACCCUAGCAUGCUUAGUAGAUGCUUAAUGCUAGAAUCUAGGGAUUUGUUGGAGUUAAUUACAUAGAUGCAAACCUAGGGCUCCAAAAUGGGGUUUUUGUAAUUAGAUGGGUUUGAUCUCAUUUAGGCCCUUGUAAAUCUAAUUGUUAGGUAAACGAACACGUUGGCUAAGUCGGUUUGGCGAUUCGUCAAGCCGUUACAAAGAUAUUGAAAAAACGGACGUCGGAGCUUCCUUUCCGCCUGGAGGGCCAAGGCGACGCCCUAAAAUCAUGGGAAUGGAUCCUGAGCACCGUGGCACAUAACCGAAGACCUAUAAUUUUCGGGGCUGCGAAGCGGAGCACGGUUGAGACGCAAUUGCAAUAUCGGGCCGUGCCGGAUACAGGUGCCGCGGGAGGCCGAUUGCAAGUGUCGACAAGCAAUCAAAACGCGAAUCGAGGUGGGUUGUGCUCACCGAAGCAACUAGGUCGCCUUUAUGUCUAAAAAAAGUUAAGAAUCCGUGUUGAUGCAUAUAAUGUAAUGAGGCAUGUAAAUGAUGCAUGUAGCUAAUGCUAAAUAAUGCAUGUUGAUAAUAUGAUGCAAAUGCUAAGUAGAUGCAUAUAAAAGAUAUAGAGAUCAUAGAAUGCAUGAUAUGUAAAUGCUAGAAUGCAUGAUGAGCAAGUUGUAUAAUGCUAGAUAAUUGCAUUAAAUGCAUGUUGACAUUGUGAAGUGCAUACUAAUAUAAGAUAUCAUGCUAGACUCAUAAGAUAUGAACUUGGUUGAUAACUCUAGAUUGAGUAGAGAACUUGACUUUGGAAAUAGGAACAUGAGAACUAUAGAAUACUCGAUUAGACAACUAGGAUGUCGAACUAGAUCGAGUGGCAUCUAACCUAGUGUUAGAGAACAUAGAUUGCGAAUGAAUCUAGAGUUAUGUGACCUAGAUCAAGUGGCAUCUAACGUAGUGUUAGUAACCAUAGGUUAAACAGGAAUGAUAUCGAACCUGGUGUUAGUAAACAUAGGUCGGACAUAGUGAUGUUGAACCUAGUGUCAGUAAACAUAGGUUGAACCCGUGGAUCUAGAAGUUGAGAUCUAGGUAGUAAUGAUAUAGAACCUAGAGUGGCUUUGAAUCUAGGUUGUUGAGUGUAGUGGUAGCAGCCACUAGGAUGUUCUAGGUCGACAGCAUAGGGUUGGUUAUGGACCCUCGACCUGUGGAAGUGGAUUCCGGAAUUCCAGGACCUGUGAUGACCUUGGUAUCGAGGCUAGGGCGUGUGCGACGAUUUCGCCGCCGAGGUUGAUACCAAGGAUGGAUUGGGGGUGAGCGCGCAGAGAUCACUGCCCGGGGCUUGAACCAUUGUCGUGGCGUGUGCGACGAUUUCGCCGCCGGAUGGUUAAGCCAGUUUAUGGAUUAUACCGCCAGAUCGACAUGAGCCAUUGUUGGGUGAGUUGCGAUUCGUUCGCCGCCAGAUAACCAAGUCAAGGGACUUGAACCAGUGUUCGGCGUGUGCGACGACUUCGCCGCCAGCUGGUUAAGUCUCAGGGGGCGGCCAGUGUGCGGACUAUCCACGCAUGAUUGACUCGAGGCCGAGUCGAGUGGUUAGCUUGAUUAGGUUAAUGAAAACCUUAUAAGCUAGUGAUAAAGGGAAGAACUAAGGUAAUAGAGACCUUAGAAGCUUGAGUUGAACUUGAAUUGCGAACCUAAGGUAGUAGAACCUUAGAGGCUAAAUGACAUGAGCUAAUUAAAGUUAGUAAAGUUGAACGUAGAAUCAAUAGAUCUACUAGUUGUUGCGUAAUGUUCAUAUUGCAUAUUGUGAGGCAUGUUAUCUGUUAGUUGCAUAAUAACAUGAUGAUAUAUAUAUCUAUAGAUGUUUUUGGACUAACAUGAUUGCAGUGCCUCCUUGGACCUUUUGGUCGAGCUUUUUUCUUGGGUGGCCGUACCCACUGGGAACCAUGAAGUUGGUUCUCAUCCCACGUUGCUUUGGAGUGUUACAGGUUCGCACGUGAGCGGCGCGGCGGCGCGAGAAAAGGGCGUUGCUCCGUAGAUAGCGCCCUACCCCAGAGACCAGAGUUAGUAGUACCCCGUUGACAUAGCUUAGGGGUAUAGGAAAUGAAAAGAACACAAUGUAUCAAAUUUGUAAUAAGUAAAUGAUGUAACAACUUAGAUUGCAUCUGGAUAAAAAAGAUUUGUAAUUGGGAGGUAAAAAGUGAAUGUGAAUACUUGUAAUAACAUAGGAUGUGUUUAUGUUGUUUGAUACCUUCCUUAUGCAAUCUUGAUUGAAAGGUGUUCCUGGUUGGAACUUCAUACAUUGUAUUAAUUGCGAUGCCUUGAACGUACAGGGGAGACUCUGUCCGCAGUACAGGAAAAACCCUGUCCGUUCGGAGCUGUUGGCGCGCCGCGACCUCGGCCAAAUAGGCGGGUGGUCGCGGGGCUGUGACAGGCUAAGUGUACUUUGUCUUGCUCUAAUGUGUAGAUGUCCUCGAACAAUAUCUCCAUCGUGGCUAACCAAGUCUCCACAGUCCAAGAAUCUAUCACCUCGCCAUCAAAAGUUGGAGGAUGAAACUUCAUGAACUUUGUGAGAGCCGUAUAACCGCGCUCUCGCUCCGCCUCCUCGGCCGCCGCAUCAAGUAUUGAAUAACCUGUAGCCACCGGAGGAACACCCGCCGGCGGGGGACGUACCACUACUGGAGCCGCCGCUAUGCCCCCACCCUCAGCCGCAUUGGGCGCGUGAGACGAGGGCGUGGGCGAGUCACGGCCUUCGGUUGCCGUCGCGGCCGCCGCCGCCACUUGCCGUUCCAUAAGCUCCUAUAGCCGCUCGAACCGACUCUCCUGGCGCUGCAUCGCGCCGACCAUCGAAACGACCUGCGCUCGUAGUUCCUGUACUUUCUCAGAUCCUGACUGCUCAGGCACCACGGGAGACGGUGCCGGAACGGAUCUAGCCACGCGGCGUCUCUUUGGUGCCAUUAGCUCCUAAAACGCAACAACUUGGUUAAUUACCUUAACCCGAUAACUUUCGCAACUACAAGACAACACGACUUAACAUCGCAAAUUAGGCGGAAGCACCCAAGUGUACUCGUUCUAAACUCUUAGCGUCAUGUUGUCGGCCGCCAACACAACCAUUUCGAGUCAAGAACUAAUACCACUUGAAUCCGCUCCUAGCAACCACUAGAGACAUACUGACACUUCAACCCAAUCGAAUCAACUUCCGCCACCGGCAUAGGUUCACGUCUCACUCACGCACCUAUAACCUUAUGGUUACCGUCCUAGGGUCUCCUAGGUCUAUCCUAGACUUCUCUCUUUAUUUGCUCUGAUACCACUUUAUCUGUCACACCCCGCAACCGCCAAUUUGGUCGGUUUGGGUACGUCAAACAGACGCCGAACGACAGCACCUCCUCUGUCCGCCCAAGACUAAACAACAAAGUCAUGUAUAUCAAGUUGCCUAGGUAAACUUAAACAACAUAUAUGAAUCAUUGCGAGUAAAACAAGCAAGUAAUACUACAAGUAAACGAGAGAGAGAGUCCUAACUAUUACAUCUUUCAUUCAACAUUAACAUAAUUGGUUACAUUUUCAUCUCCCAAAAGGUAUACACAUGGUUUACAAGUUCAUCUCAUGACAUAUACAUCUCUCCAAAAGCAUCUCACCAACUAUACAUCAUCUAUCACUCAUGUACAUAGGAUGCUCUAAUGCAAAAAGGAUAGCUACUAGCUAUUAGGACGCUAUGCUCUUACCGUGGUCCUAGCCCAGUCCACUUGAACUAGGCCCUGCAACAAAGUGGGAUGAGAACUAAUAAUAGUUCCCAGUGGGUUCGGCCGCCGACUCCGCCGAUCUUCCCACUAGGUCUAAGCAGGCAUAAGUAAUAGAUAGAUAAUAAAGAAAUAACUGCUACAUGGUAUGUAUUCUACUAACAUGCUACUAUACCUCAAUCAAUAGCAAAUGAAUGCAGAUCUACAUAGUAAUGAUGUAAUAUACCGAAAAUUCGGAAAAUAAAUAUCGAACUUCAGUCAAAUUGACCAAAGUGCGAGGACGGAGCACUUCGGAAAGUCCGAAGGUGUUAAAAUGAUUAAAAAUGAGUUGUGGAAGGUUUUCGGGAGCUAAAGAAUNAUGUGAUCAAAAUGAAUCAUAUUACUUGAGAAUGUUUAGUUCCUUUUUCUUUCACUAAUGGCCAUUGCUUACCCUCGUGUAAGCCGUUUGUGUAUGUUUCCGCUAGUGCACUUCUUAUUGAAAAUGCACAUGUGAUGAGCCUUGGGCGGAUAGGGGAAACUCUGUCCGUUCGGCGUCUGUUUGACGUGCUCGGGUCGGGCCAAAUUGGUAUCGGAUCCGGGGCGUGACAAAUGAAGCCAUCUAUCAUGCUACUAUGUUCAAGAAGUAUAUCAUUCAUGUGUUCAUUACACAAUCAACUUGGCUAACCCGAAGGUUCACCACGACUCACAACCAAAUCUCAUAGGUGAAGAGACUCUGCUGCUACGCACACCUGAUACCGUCUGCUGGACAAGUACGUUAGUCCAUGGGCAAAUACGUUAACCCAUCGUGUGAUAACUCCGGAACCCACUGCUUGGGUGGAGCGACCAUUGCCAAACUCAAAACAGACUAUGUGAGUAUGAUCCAAUCCUCACCAACUGAGGAUACCCUACCAACUAGGGCUAACAAUCACUCGGGAACUCAACUGUCCCUAUGUUUCUAUUCAAGUGUUUCAUCUACACUAAGUUCAUCAUGUAAUAAGUGUUUCUACUACACUAAUUUCACAUGCCACUCGUCUAUGUCACCAUUCAUAGUUUACAUGCCACUCGUCAUGUAUUUACAUAUAUCAAGUUCUCUACCUGUUUCGGCACCGUAGGAUUUCAAUGUCCAGACCCAAUUCCUUAUAUAUCCACUAUAUCAUGUGUCCAUCACAAUACAAUAUCAACUAGGAAAACAUAUAAGGAAUGGAAAUGCAACAACUAUAAUCCUACAACGCAUAACAACAUAAGAGAUGUAAGGUCGACAAUGCAAUCUUAGACAUAGAAGGUAGUUCAACUGCUUCGGGUGGCACCCUCCAUCUCUUGGUGAUGCCGCGAAGCUAGACUCCAAGUUUCGCAAUCUUCCGCGCCUAUUUCUUCCGACUGCUGCAAACGAAGCCAAAAACAGGCAUUUCUUCAAUAUCUCCGCGCAGACUCGUCGGAUCGCCGAAUCGAGUUCACCGGCGCGUUAGAUUACCUAGCAAUUAGGAUUAUAUAUGGUCAAUUUAGAUCAAAUCCUAACAUUUUGCAAAACCCCAAUCAGAACCCUAACAUAUAACCAAUGCAAGAAUCCACUCUACAACUUCAUGAUCCGAGCAACAAUCAUCUACUUAACAUCCUAGGGUUCCACCAAAACCAUUUCUAGAGUAUAUAAACAAAGCCCUAGAAUUUUACCAUUAAAGCUCCAAGAAGCUUACCUCAAUGCUUUCUUCUUGAACCAAGGAAGAAGAUGAAGAAGAUGAUGAUCCACUUUCUUGCUUCAAUCUCCACCAAAUCCCCCUCCUACUUCCUACCUUGAAGAGAGAGAGAAAGAGAGCUUAGAGAGAGAGAGGGGAGAGCCAUUUUAGGUUAGAAUGUGAGGGAGUGAGAGGAGAGAACUCAUAUCACCCUCAAAUAGCUUCCACUAAUGCAAAAUUGCAUAAAAUCCCUCAAACAUUGCAAUUAGUGCAUAACCCAACCUGAGCAUUUCGCAGCUACGGGGUCCGGACCCCCCGAGAGCACCAUUUUUCUGCAAUUUUGCAAAAAUGCUUAUUCAAGCUCUCCAAGGUCCCCCAUAACCCAUAAAAGCCAUUUUCGUCACGUUCGGCCUUUCCGAAGCGUCCCGAACUCGCCUUCAAUCAAUUUUGAUCGAAGUUCGGAUUUACGUAUCGAGGUUUCAUUUCCUCACACUCUGUUCGUUCGGCGGUCUGUUGGCGUGCCCGAAUCCGACCAAAAUGGCGGGUUGUCAGGGCGUGACAGUUCCGUUGGCCGCUCACUACCUGGAGGACGAGGCGUACAGCUGGUGGUUGCGCCUCUUCGAGAAGAAGUAUGCUAAGACGUACUCACCCUGGAAGAAGUUUCGAGAGCUCCUCUACAGUCAGUAUUUCAAGGACAGCACCAAGCAAGGCUUGGAGCACGAGCUGGAGCGACUCAGGCAGGGCAACCGUACUAUGGCGGAGUACGAGCAAGACUUCUCUUGCAUUGUGGGACUGAUCCCUUUCGUGGUCCUCAAUGAGUACCACAAGGCCCAGAUGUUUGCUAGGGGGUUGAAACCCAACAUCCGAAUUCUAAUCGCAUCGCACGGCGUGAUGACGUUCGACGAGUGCCUAGAUAGGGCCCUAAUGGUCCAAAAUGAUAUGGAGGAGGCACGAAUCGAACGUGAUGCAUCCGAGAAGAAUGGGGACAAGAAGCGUUCCCAUUUCAAGUCGAGCGGUGGCUCUUUCUCCCCACAAAAGCAUCCACACACUCAGCAGUCGGCUAGGAGUGUACCAUCGGGCAACCAACGAUAGGGUGAUCGACCCUGUGUGAUUCAUCAUCUACUAUUUUCGUGCGCUAUAUAUUCAUUCGCUCCGAUAGGGUAUCAAAUUGUGAAUUUGAGACGAAAAUCUUCUCUACUACAAUUUGCUAAGCAAUACAUUCUCGUCUCAAAAUUAUUAAAUGUCGUAUAUGAACGAAUCGAGAUCAAUUUCUUUCGACUGCCAACAUAUUUGGGACUAUUUCCAUCCAUAACUAACUAUCAAUCCCAAUGAACACUUAGCCACCGUUUGGUUCGGGGUUAAGUAAAAACUUGUUAUUCCAGGGAUAGGGUUAAGUUCAGGGUUAAGGUGGGGUUAGAGUAAUUUUGUGUUUGGUUGAUAAUUGGGUUUAGUCCAGAUAUAGGUAAAAUAGUGUUUAGUUUGAGUAGAUGGGAUAAGAAGGAUAGUGGGUAAAAUAGUAUUUUGUUUGGUUGUAGUCGGGUGGGGUGCCCACCCCACAUGGGCUAUCACCGGAUAGGCCAUUUGGGGUGGGAUUAGCUAACCCCACCUCCCAAAUUGGGUGUUUGGAAAUAACUUCGGGGUUAAGGAGUUAUUCCACCCUUUAACGCUGAACCAAACGGAUGCUUAGAGACAUCCGACGACUAGCCAUUUUAACUACACAGAAAAAACUUUCAAAUAUUCUCUCAACAUAUUUAGUGAAUAUAAUACAAAAAAAUUAUAAACAAAAAAGAGACCACAUGGAGACUCCCCUACCCCACACGGCAAUAAUCCAACAAAGAUUAUAGAAAAAGUUUGUUGGAAUUGGCAUAUUAAAAACCAGAAAUUAAGGCCUCAUUUGAUAUCAUCUUACCAUAAUGUCUAACUAAACGUGAAGCAAAAUCUCUCAUCUUCGAAUCGACUUUUUGAUCCGAAAAAGAGAACAAAAAUAAAGUCAAUUGAAGACUUCAAAUAACCCUCACAAAAUGGUAUCCUUUUUUUCUUGAAACUCGAUAUAUUAUGGGUAAUUGAAGCUAUGCAAUGAGUUAAAAUAAGUAAUAAGGUAUCAAGUCGUUCGCUCUAAAAAAAUAGAUUUGAAGCUAUUUUUCAUAUAGGUCCCAAUUUUAAACCCUAGAUUUUACAUUUUUAGCAACAAUGGCAACAAUGCCAAAGGAAGUAAAAACAUAUUGACCGAAGAACCUCCUCCGAAAGUCUAGGAAAGAUAACGGUUAAAUUCAAAUGCAUAACAAAUUUGGCAACCUUAAGUUUCAAGGUGAAUGACAAGCCCGUGACAGGAAAAUGGAACGAUUAAUCAAUUAGACAAUAAUCAUAGCCGCCAUGCAAUAGAAAGGGGAACAAGAAAAAGAGACCAUGAUGGUGUCAAAAUACCGGAUUCUUGGACAUCCUCAGCAUAGAAGAUGGCUCGUGAUGAUUCUUGUGUUGCAUGACCGAUAAACCUAACCUUUUUGCGUCGUCACGUACGUAAAAGCAAUGCCUGCUAUAUCAAAAAUAUACAACGCCGAUCGGCCAGACAUGUGUUGUCACUUCAAUAGUAAUGGGGCAAAGAAAGUAUGUGCAAAAAUAUGAAUUUGCUAUGAACUGAUUUGAGUACAAGUAUAACAGCGCUGCUACAUAAAAGUUGGUUGCAAGAAUAUAUGUACAAACUAGAGAACAAAAAUUGAAGAAAACCAAAGCAAAAACCCUUCACCGAUUCGACGUGGAGCAAAUGGUCGUGUCGGUCUUGAUAACUCUGGUGUUGUAUGAACCACAGAAGCUGCAUUUGUGGUAUAGCCAGUGGAAUCGAGAUACACCCAUCUUGUUACAGUCGUUGCACAGUAUAUCCUGCACCAAUUCUUUAAUCAAUUAGCAAUCUCUUCACUAAUAAAAAGGAGUAAUAGUUUUGAUUGCGAGAGGAAAAUGCACCUGGCACCGGUCCCUGUAUUCCUCGGGAAGUUCUUCAGCAGCAAGCAGGGCAUCAAGCAUGCCGAAGUAAACCUGAAGAUUGUCCAAAUACACCUUUUUGUCUCAAUAGGCACCAGAUAAAGGAAAAGCAUCUGGCAACUAAAUGGAUUCUCUUGUAUAACAUCAGACGAUGUUAGCACACAUGAUAAGCGUUGUCAUAUCUAUCGAACCCAUAACAAGCUAUUAGCCAUCUAAAUUACAAGAUAGAAGCACAUAUCUAUACACCCAGAAAACAAAAUUGUGAUCUUAUUUAUGUAGACUAACGAGUGAGUUUUGGACCAUUUAAGAAGAGGUGAAAAAUAUUCAAAUAUGUUUCACAGGGAAUUAAGUGAUUUCUAAUGUGUUUUAGGAGUUCAAAAUCAUUCUGGAAGUGGCUAGCAUCUGCAAUAGUGGGAUCUCAAGAACAUCUUGUUAUCUGAAGCCCCUAGAGGGGUAUGAAUUGAAGAUAUUAUUACUAUUGGUCUCACAACAACCAUAUCCAGAAACCAAUCCAGAUGAACACAACAUGGUGGAGCUAUACGUUAAGGAACGGCUCAAUAGUGAAUUUUAAUUCCCUGUCAAGCUAUACGUUAAGCAUUGCGAAGUAACAUGAAUAUAGAAUAUAAAAUAUAAAGACACCCUUCUCUAGUUGCUUAAGCUAUUAAAGAACAAUGGUUGUUUCCUAUAAUUUAACAUAGUAUCAAAGCAAAAGAUCAUGAGUUCGAGUCCUAAUAGGGUUCUAACGUUAUUAAUUUCCUCCUAUUUAAUUCAAGUCAACAUCUCUCUAGUAGCUAAAGCUAUUGGAGAACAACGGUUGUUUCAGAUAACUUAAUGACUUUGCAAAGAGCAUCUUGAAGGAAUAUAACUAAUUUUGUCCAAAAGAAAGUUAGAUUUUGUAUACAUCUUCUCAUGGAAAAAGACACUUGGGGACCAUGACAAAUGAUAGCGGACACAGAAGCAGGGCAUCCAGAAGGAUGUUUGGAGAAAUAAAAGGAAAGUCUUGUCAUUUGCAGCACACCACUGAAGCAACUGAGAAACUUGCUCCAAGCCUACAGUAAGUUUCAAGCAGAGUCCAAGUCAAUAUAUUUUGGUACUAAGCACCAUAGCUCGACUAGGGUACAGGAAAACUAAGGGCAGGUUCAUGAGUUCAUCCAUAGAAAAGACUAGAAUAUUCAGUUGACUAUGUUCCUGUGAAAUCUUAAAACAACAUUAAAUCAUUAGACUACAGAAAACCUUUACGCGUCUGGAAAUAGGCCUUGGCUAAACUAGGAAACAAAAAUAGCAAUAUGCCUUUCAAAUGUUCCCAACCUAAUAAUCCUAUUACAAUAAUUCUUGUAAAUAGUAAUGCCACCUCACAAACAAGCUUGCGACAUGCCUUUGGGAACUUCCUAGUCAUUAUCACAUCUAGGGCAGGCUAUGUCCCCAGUUCCAAAGAAGACAAGCUAGCACGGUCAUGGUUUACAAUCAUAGCUUCCAUACCUACUCAUUUUGGAUCAUUUACCAAGAAUCAAAGUCAGAAAAGCCAUUUUGAGGCAGCUUGCAGAGAUGUCACCACUCAGCCUCCUAUGGCAAUAAUAGUCUUGAUGUUUGCAGUUCCAACUUUGUUCCAGGGCAAAGGUUUCCAUAGGCCGAUAAGAAACCAAAACUAGUUUUCCAAAAGAGAUUUCUCUGUAGUUAACAUAGUAAUUGCCUUUAGUACCAAUUGAUCAGCUAUUAAAUAUAGAGGCAAAUUCUCCCCAACAGCUAUCAGCAAAAUCUGGAAAAACAGAGUAAAUAAAAUUUGAAACUAAUAAAGGGUCCCAACAGGACCUAGAGCCGAACAGAACCUAGAGCCAAUCAAAACUCAAGAUUGAUUCUGGAGACAGCAGGAUCAGCAAACAGGGAAAGCUCAUAUAUGCCUAACACGUAAUUUUUGAGUUGAAUAUGUAGACUCUAGCUUUUUUUCGUUUUGCUCAAAAUUCUCAGCAUGCGUCUCCACCAAAACUAUUCAAGCUUUACAGCUACAACAUAAAUUCAACUGAGCUGACCAAAACCAGGGCCCGCUAGUAACAUCGAUGAAAUUAAAAGACUGACUCAGCUGGCACACAGCUUUAGUAGGCAACACAAGCUCAAGGUGAACCUCUAAACUAGUAAUUAUAAUAGGCUCAGAAACUAAACCAAAUCAAGAAUUAAAAACCACAAAGGCAGAGGUAAUGAAAAAUCAAAGCUAAAAUAUUAGCUGCUAAAUAGGACUAAAUGUCUUGCAAUGAGAUCAAUAAAAAACAGAGAGGCCACCCAUGUCAACUAAUGAAUAUCAAAAUCUCAACAUGCAAAAAGUUUGUCACAACUAUUCAGAGUAAAUCAGAUGACAGCAAUCUCAAAUUCAACAAAAAUUGUUCAAAAAAUGCACAUGAAAGGAUCAGUAGCUGAUAAACACUUAGAAACAAAAUUCACUUUGAUUUCUUUUUCUAGUUAGGUAUCAAAUAUGUGCAAUACUAUAUAGUAUGCGAAAAGCUUCUUAAUUACUACAUAACAUGGAAGAAACAACUGAAACUUUUCUUGCAUAAGGGUAUGAAAAGUAGUCUCUUACCGCCAUAUCUCCCAAGGAUUUGCUACAAAUUGGACAAGUAUAGUGACUACAAGUGUACGCCUGCGAAAUGAUAGAAAUAGUUAACAAAUAUCUAAAUCCUACAACCAACUCUUUAAACUGUCUUAUUAUCCAUAAAAAAACAAAAAGAAAGAUAGAGGUUAUGUAACAGGGAAAGAGAGAGUAAAUAGAACAUAUCCAGUUGUUCUCAGAAGAUCUCAUGGAAGAGAAUAUACCUGAAAACAUGCAGAGUGCAUGAAAUGGCCACAGGGUAGAGCUCGUACUGCCGCACUUGAUGUAAACAAAAAAUCACAACAAAUGGGACAGUUUGUCUCCAAACUCUUCUCCCGGCAUUUGUGCUCCACUAACUUCAUUCCCAAGCAACAAUUGCAAGUCAUGCAAUGGAAGAAGUCAAUACCGAGUCCUUUCCCAAGGCGACACAAAUUACAAGAUGGACAGUGGUAUACACUCCUGAAAUGUUGAGAACUCCAGCAUUUAUAAUCUUUUACAGUAUAAUGCAAAUAGAAGCUCUUAAUUAUGCUUGAUUCCCUCCCCCUCUCUCUUUACUGCUACCCAUGCUUUAAUGCAAACCAUGUAAUGCUCUUGAUCCAUAACGCCACAAGAACAAAAUGAUGGGUUCUACAGAAGUUCGUAUUAUGUGAACACUCUCAGUUAUAAUGCUUAGGCAAUAAUAAGACUAGUUUUCGCAGUUUUCUUUAUAAAGGAAAAAUUAUGGUAUUCCCUUAGGCUAUGUUUGGUUGGGGGUUAACAUUCAUAGGAAUAAAUUUUUUUAAUUCUUGAGAUAACUAGUUAUUCUAGGGUAUACAAGUUCGUUCAAAAUUGUCUGGUAGAAUAUUCUUUUAUUCUUAAGACUAACAAAAAAUGUAUUUGAUAGGUAUCUCAAGGAUGGUAAAGAAUAAUGAAAUAUAUAUAUAUAUAUAUAUAUAUAUAUAUAUAUAUAAACAAUGCAAAAUUAAUACAUUUUAACAUAUUAUAGGUUAUAAUCAGUGUUUGAAAAGGCGCGAGGCGCAAAAAGACGCAAAACUCUCCUGGAGCCUAGGCGCGAGGCGCACUGCGAGGCGCGCGCCUCAAGAAGGCGAGGCGCACAGUAAUUUAAUUUGAUAUUCUACAUUAAAAAAACUCCAAAAUAACUAUACAAAACUAAAAUAACUAGUCUCAAUAUAUAGGUUCUCAAGUUAAAGGUUCUCAAGUUAAAAAAAAAUAUAUUUCGACUUUCAACUUAAAAGUGAUUGUGGUGCCAAUGUUUUCAUUUGGCCUCAAGAAGGAGAAGAGAGCGGUAAAAGAAGUGAUAGGAGGAGAGGGCGGUAGAUGGAUUUCAUUAGGGUUUGUUUUAGGUUUCUUUUAGAUUCCUUUACUAAUCUUAUCGGGCUAAAAUAUAAAAUUUAUAUCCGAAACCCAAUAACCCAAAAUCUUUAAUCCAAAAUCCAAAAAAUAUUAAAUAUGCCGAGGCGCGCGCCUUAUGUGCGCCUCGCGCCUCGCCUGAGGCGCGCACCUCAGGGCCUAGGCGCGCACCUCAGCAAUAGCGCCUCGCCUCGCUAUUGCUGAAGCGCGGAGGCCAGCGCCUCGUGCCUAGGCACUGAGGCGCGCGCCUUUUCAAACACUGGUUAUAAUACAUACUGUUUUAUUUAUUUAUAAUAAUAAUAGUAGUACUUCUGCUACUAAUAACAAUAACAAUAAUAAAUAUUAUUAUUAUUACAAAUAUAAAAAAUAAAAUAAAACAUCAUUAUUAUUAUUUUUAUUUUUAUUUUAUUUAGCUAAAUAUAAGCAUGAUUAUAUCUUUCUUUAUUUUUAACUAGCUAGAUACAAGCAUGAGAAUAGCUUUAUUCCACUAAAAAGUUGGACUACUUGUUCCCAGGUUAUUCUAGGAUUACUUAGAAUCAAGGAUUUAAGUGCCGUGGCACGGGGUCGUGCCGGAAACUUGUCGGCACGGUACGGCACGAUGUGUGCCGAGCCGGACCGAUGCGUGCCGGUCAAAAAAAUUCUUGUGUGCCGCCACAUAAUAGCAUGAAAUAUUUAUUUUCUUUAGCAACAAAAUAUUCUAACUAUUUACUACGUCUUUUUAUCACAUCUUUUGAACUUUAUUGAAGAAAUUACUUACUAAUUUAAAGAAUAGAAGGUUUUGAGCUGUGCCAUCGGCACGAAGUCUGUAUAGUGCUGGUAUCUUGUUGGCACAGUACGGCACGUUAGAUACGGCCCGUGCCAACAUUAGAUACGGCCCGUGCCGACAGGCACUUAAAACCUUGCUUAGAAUAACCUGCUUUGGCCGGAAUAGUUGCCCCGACCAUUUUUUUAAGGCGUUUGGCGGAAUAGCAGAAUAAAUUUUAUUGUCCUCGAUUUAUUCACAAACCAAACAUAGCCUUAAGGAGUGUAUUACUGACCAAGUCUUAAACCUAAAUAUACGCCACAAUACUUUAUGUAUUAACUGUUGAAACUAACACUAUGGAUUCCAAAGUUGAUCAGUUCACAAUCAAACAGAUUGUUCGGGCAGGUUUGAAAGUUAAACUGUGAAAUCAAUCUGUUUAUAAUUUGUUGUUGCUUAAUUCAUCUUAAAUUAAUAAUUCUGGCAUAUAUAUAUAUAUAGAGAGAGAGAGAGAGAGAAAGAAAGAGAGAAAGAGAGAGUAGGGCUACUAUACUCAUAUGAGUAUAGAGCCCUUCGUACUCAUAAGUUGUUUUCGAUGAUGAAGCUUCCGAAUCGACGAUCAACUCCGUUAAAUAUGAUCUAAAGUAUUUGAAACUACUAAAAAAUAAAUUUCGUAACUUUUCAAAAUCAAAAUAAAGUCCAUCAAGUGACAUAAAAUGAACGGUCAAAAUCGAACGACGUCCUAAAAAUAGAUGAUCGGAUCCUUCAAUUUAAGAUCGGAGCUACUGAUCUUUAUCUAGAUAGUGAAUAGAAUUUUCUAUCAAAAAUUCAACUGAUUCCGAUUCUUAUUCACCGUUAAACUAGCAAGUAUCCUAUAUCGGCCGUUAAAAAUUGUCAAUUUUGAGACCUUUUGAUCGUAAGGUAAAUGAUGUCAAAAAAUUAUAAAAUUUGAUUUCUAGAAGUUUUCAAUGCUCUAGAUAAUAUUUAACGAUAUGGAUCAUCUAUUCGAAAACUCUAUCAUUGAAGACGAUUUACGAGCACGAAGGCGAUCGUAUUCAUAAGAUUAUAGUAGCCGGACUCUAUAUAUAUAUAUAUAGAGUAGGGCUACUAUACUCUUAUGUGUAUAGAGCCCUUCGUACUCAUAAGUUGCUUUUGAUGUUGGGACUUUCGAAUGGACGAUCCACACCAUUAAACAUGAUCUAGAGUAUUUGAAACUUCUCGAAAAUAAAUUUCGUAAUUUUUCGAAAUCAUUAUAAAGUCCAUCAAGCGGGUAUAAAAUGAACGGUCAAAAUCGAACGAUAUCCUAAAAAUGAAUGAUCGGAUCCUUCAAUUUAAGAUAGGAGUUAUUGAUCUUUAUCUAGGUAGUGAAUAGAAUUUUUUAUCAAAAAUUCAAACCUAUUCCGAUUCUUUUACACUGUUAAACUAGCAAGUAUCUCAUACCGGCCGUUAAAAAUUUUCAAUUUUGUAAGCUUUUGAUCAUAAGGUAAAUGAUAAGCUCUAUCAUCGAAAACAACUUAUGAGUAUGAAGCCAAUCGACUCAUAAGAGUAUAGUAGCCGGACUAUAUAUAUAUAUAUAUAUAUAGAGAGAGAGAGAGAGAGAGAGAGAGAGAGAGAGAGAGAGAGCGCUAGGCUGGUAUACUAUCGGUAGCACGGAGGCCUCCGUGCUACCAAGCUUUCAAAUCGACGAUGGGCUCCGUUAGACUUGAUCUACACUAUUGAAAGUAUUUGAAAACUAAAUUUCAUAAAUUUUCGACAUCAUUUACCUAUCAAACGAGUAGUCUAAAAAUGAACGGCUGAAAAUAAAAAUCUCAUAAAAAAUAAUGAUAAAAGACUUGAAUUUAAGAUCAGAGGUAUUGAUUUUACUCUAAAUAGUGAAAAGAAUUUUCUAUAAAAAUUUCAUCAGAUUUGGAUUGUUUUACACCGUUAAAUUCACAAACGCAUCACAUCUACCAUUAAAAUUGUCAAUUUUAAGACCUUUUGAUCACUAGCCAAAUGAUGUCGAAAAAUUAUGAAAUUUAGUUUCCAAAUACUUUAAAUAGUGUAGAUCAAGUCUAACGGAGCCGAUCGUCGAUUUGGAAGCCGCAUCAGUAAAAACAACUUGGUAGCACGGAGGCCUCCGUACUACAGAUAGUAUAGCAGCCUAGCUCUUAUUUUAUUUAGCUAAGUAUAAACACGAUUAUAUCUUUCUUUAUUUUAAUUAGCUAGAUACAAGUAUGAAAAUAGCCUUAUUCCACUAAAAGGUGGACUAGUUGUACCCGGGCCUGGUUUGACCGAAAUAUUUGCCCCGACCAUUUUUUCAAGGCAUUUAGCAGAAUAGCGGAGAUAACUUUUGCCAUCUCCUGUUUAUUCUCAUACCAAGCAUAGACUUAAGGAGUUACUGGGCAAGCCUUAAACCUAAAUAUACGCCACAAUACUUUCUAUAUUAACUGUUGAAACUAACACUAUGGAUUCCAAAGUUGAUUAACUCACAAUCAAACAGAUUGUUCAGCUAGGUUUGAAAGUUGAACUACCCAAAUUAAUCUAUUUAUAAUUGGUUGUUGCAUUGUUGCUUUAAUUCAUCUUAAACUAAUAAUUCUGACAUAUAUAUAUAAAGUCCAGCUAAUAUACUAUUAUAAGUACAAUCGCCUUCAUAUUGAUAAGUCGUUUUCGAUGAUAAAACUUCCAAAUUGACGAUUCAUUCCAUUAAACAUAAUUUACAGCAUAUAAACAUUCCAGAAACCAAGGAUUUAAGUGUCGUGACGGGGUUGUGCCGGAAACUUGCCGGCACGGUGCGUGUCGGUCAUAAAAUAUAUCUGUGCCGACACGUAAUGACACGAAAUAUUUAUUUUCUUUAGCAACAAAAUAUGCCAAUUAUUUAUUAUGUAUUUUUAUCAAAUCUUUUGAACUUAAUUGAAAAAAUUACUCACUAAUUUCAAGAAUAGGGGAUUUCGAGUUGUGCCAUCGGCACGAGGGCUGUGUCCUGCCGAUAUCUUGUUGGCACGAUAUGGCACGGUGGAUACCGCCCGUGCCGAUGGGCACUUUAAUCCUUGCCAAAAAUUGAAUUUCAUAAUUUUUUGACAUGAUACACCUUAUAAUCAAAAGGCCUCAAAAUUGACAUUUUUAACGGCCGGUAUGGAACGUUUCCAAGUUAAUAGUGCAGAAGAAUAAGAAUUGGUUGAAUAUUUGCUAGAAAAUUCUAUUCACUAUAUAAAUCAAGAUCAAUAACUCUGAUCUUGAAUUUAAAAACCCUAUCCCCUAUUUAUAGGAGAUCAUUCGAUUUUGAUUGUUCAUUUUGUACCCACUUGAUGGACUUUAUUAUAAAUUCAAAUAAAAGUACGAAAUUCUAUUUCUAGGUACUUUAAAUGCUCUAUAUCAUAUUUAACGGUAUGGAUCGUCGCUUCGAAAUUGGUUGAAUAUUUGCUAGAAAAUUCUAUCCACUAUAUAAAUCAAGAUCAAUAACUAUGAUCUUGAAUUUAAAAACCCUAUCCUCUAUUUAUAGGAGAUUGCUUGAUUUUGAUCGUUCAUUUUGUACCCACUUGAUGAACUGUAUUAUAAAAAUUCAAAUAAAAGUACGAAAUUGUAUUUCUGGCCAGGGACGAGACCAUGCAUAGGCCGACAAUGGCCAUGGCCCCCCCAGACUUUUUAAAAUUACAAAAAGUUUUAGUCUUAAGUUGUUCAAAAAAUUAAAAUAUUACAAUUUUUAGGGACCAAACUGCAAUUGUUUUGAACACUAAAGUUGCUUGUGGGCCACGCUUCAUGCAUGAGCAGCAUGACGCAUGCAUCAUGAUGCCCACCCCCAAGCGCCGCCCGCCGCUCGCCCGACGCUCGCCAGUCGCCUCGGCGCCUCCUCCCACACCAGUGCACCGCAAUUUGUCAAUCCACACUAAUUAACCACUCUCUCUCUCUCUCUCUCUCCCUCUCUCUCUCUCUCUCAGUUCCACACUUUCUUUCUCUCUCUCCCAUUUCCACACUUCCAUUCCCAUUUCCCAGCCUCCGAGAGUCACAGGCUCAGAGCUCUCUCUUUCUCUAACUUAUCUCAAAUUUCAAUCUCUCUCUCGCUUGCCGGACCGCCGGACGCUGGCCGCCGGUGGUGGUCGCCCCUCGCCGCUCGCCCGCUCGGGCUCGGGCCGCUCGGCGCCUCGAACUACACGGCUACACGCCUACACCCUUCUGGACUAUCAACUUCUUUUGAAUAAUUUUUUGGUGACCGCCUGAUCGGUGAGUGAACCGUCAACCGUGAAUAACUAAAUAUUUUCUUUUAUGUCAUUGUAUGGUAUGCUCUUGAUUUAUUAGUUGUUGUUUGUUCAACUAUUUAAGUAAUUGACAACUAUUUCUGAAUUAUGUCAAUGGUUGGUGGCAACAAGAAAGUCAGAAAUAUAUCCACUUCUCUACAGAUUAGUUAAACUUGUAUUACUUCUUCCAGUUUCAACUGCAACAACUGAACGGGUAUUUUCCGCGAUGAGUAUUAUCAAAAUUGAUCUCCGGAAUAAGAUGGAUGAUGACUUUCUCACUAAUUCUUUGAUCGUGUAUAUUGAAAGAGAAAUUGCCGAGAAGUUUACUAUUGAUUCAAUCAUUGAUGGAUUUCGUGACUUGAAGGAGUGCCGAGCACUAUUCUAAUUUUUUUAUGGUACGUAAAAUUUUUAAAGUUUUUUUUUGUAUUUGUGUACUUCAAAUUUUUAUUAUAUAUAGUUUGUUUUAUUAAUAUAUUUUGCAUAAUAUAUUUUUGGCCGCCCCAGAAUUAAAUCCUGGCUUCGUCCCUGUUUUUGGCUACUUUAAAUGCUCUAGAUCCAAGAAUUUAAGUUUCAUGGCACGGGAUCGUGCCUGAAACUUGCCAACACGGUACAGCAUGGCGUGUGCCGGACCGUGCUGACACGUGUCGGUCAUAAAAAAUGUGUGCUGACACGUAAUGGCAUGAAAUAUUUAUUUUUUUCAGCAACAAAAUAUGCUAAUUAUUUAUUAUGUAUUUUUAUCAAAUCUUUUGAACUUUAUUGAGAAAGUUACUUACUAAUUUUAAGAAUAGAGGGUUUUGAGUUGUGUCAUUGACACACAGGCUGUAUCGUGCCGAUAUCUUGCUGGCCCGAUACGGCACAGUGGAUACGGCCCGUGCCGAUGGGUACUUUUGUCUAGAUCAUAUUUAACAGUAUCGAUCGUCGAUUCGGAAGUUCCAUCAUCGAAAAUGACUAAUGAGUAUGAAGUCCUCUAUAUUCGUAAGAGCAUAGUAGCACUAUGUGUGUGUGUGUGUAGAACUAGGCUAGAAUACUAUUAAUAGUACGGAGCCCUCCGUGCUAUCAAAUUGUUUUCGAUGAUGAGACAUCCGAAUUGACGAUCGGUUCCAUUAAACAUGAUCUACGCUAUUAGAAGUAUCUAAAAACCAAUUUGGUAGCACAAAGCCCUCCAUGCUAUUAAUAGUAUACAAGUCAGACUCUAUAGAACUAGACUAGAAUACUAUUACUUAGCAGUUAGCAUGUAGGCCCCCCCCCCUCUCUGUGUGUUUGUGUGCGCGCGCGCGCAGCCUUCUUGCAUGCUAAAGGGGUAUCAGCUGUCAGAUCCUCGAAACAAAUAGCAUUGGUUUAUCUUGCUUAAAAAAUUACCUUUCAUCAUCGAAAAAUUUGCAGAUACUGCAAUAGUACUUUGCCAUUGAUAAUCCGUCGCAGGAGGGUGUUUGGCAUGUUGGGCCAACAGGCUGGACCUUCAAACAACGCAUACACAUCAUCUCUGCAGUUGCUUUCCUGCAAAUCCAAUAAACCGACAAAAUUAGUGUUGCUAUACAACACUUUCUCAACUUUAAGUCAAAUCUGGAGUCAACUGUCUGCAAGUAAUCACGACAUAUCCCAUCUGGAGUCAACACAAUGUCCUUACAAAUCAACACAUCCUUUCAAUCAGGAAAAAGCAUGCUUAUCCAAAGAUUUAGUUUUCAAACUAAACCAUCUUCAAAGUCUAAACAUGCAAUUAGCUAAUCGGUCGCAGGAAAUACUGAUAAGAUAACGAUUGUCAAUCGAUGUUCUCUUUCUUCCAAUCAAUGAAGGCACUUAAUACCAAAUUGAUAAAAUAUCCAAUUACAUAAGCAAGCAGGCUGUCUAAUGAUUCUAUGUUCAUACCGCAAAGCUUCCAACAAAACCAAGUUGUGAGGGCAAUAUGUGAUUAGACCUCUGCAUUUAAGCCCAAGUAUGCAGGUUUAUAUCUUAAGGAAUGAAAACUGAAGCAAGCACUAUUAAAGCAGUAUAUGUGUGAAACAUGCAUUUCAGAAUGAGACGUCUGUAUCCUCAAUCUUGUAAAUAAUGUGAAACAGUUAGAAAAUAAUGCCUCAAUACUUGAAAAAAUAAUAAAAUAAUUUAAUCUUCUACAACCAAGAAAGUUUGAUGGCAGAAAUUUUCUCAUUUUACUGAUACAACUAAAAAAGGUAUGGUAACAGAACUUUUAUCAUUUUAUUUAAGGGGUGCUCUACCUGUCCAUAGUAUGGUCGCUAACUUUAUCAUGACAGAACCGGCAUGUGAACAGCUUGCAACAACAUGCAGCAAGAAGUUUGCAGUUUCGUUUGUAAUGAUCACAGCCAAAUAUUUGCUUCUCUGGAUCUCGAAAAGAUGGAGAGCAGCCUGGUAUACCUUCACCGCCAUUGCUCUCUCCUGUCCUUGUAUGAGGUAAUUUUUGUUGAGCAGCUAUCCAUCGGCUGCAAUUAAAUACAUCCAGGCAUCAAAGAAAAUUUAAAAAUAUGAACUCAAAGAAUAUGUAAUCACUAAUCAGUAGAGCAAACCUUGUCAUUAGAUUUUGAAUCAGAUAUGCCUUCCUUCUAGGAUCAAGUGUGGGAUCUCGUGAGACCUUUCGAAUCUCUGACUCAAGCUCAUUUUGAUUCAUCCUAAAUAUAUCUUUCCAACCAGGUUUGAACAUCUGGUCGGUCUGAUCAAGACUUUCUCGGCACUCAGGUUCUAAGAAGCCAAAAGGACAAUAAACAAAUAAUUUAGAAUUAAGGGUCAAAGAAGAAAGAAAUGAGGACAGCAUUAAGUGCAUAUCUCCUAUAAGCCACCCAAUGACAACUAAAGAAAACUGAGUGUCACAUUAUUUAGAAAUAGAACAAAGAUUAAUUUAGCAACCUUUGGAAAAGGCAGGGCUCUUAGUAGUUGCCUGUGGUGAUUUAGGACUACCGCUCCACCACUCAUUUAGCCACUCAUUGAACAUUGUAUUUUUGGUUGCUUGCCUCCAUGUGUCGAUCAUCUUAUUCUGCUCUUCUUGAGUAAGAGCUGAAGUUACCCAGGGCAACAUCGACUGGAGAACCUCUGCUCCUGUCGUUCCAAUUAUACGACCUAUAAUCUUAUCCUGCUCCUCCACAGAAAAAUGCUUAUCAAACAAUGGCCACAGCUCAAGUUCUUCCCUGAGAACAUGAUUAUCCAGAGUAACUCUCAAAGAUUUGCACAUCCCAUGAAGCUUUGUGGCCAGUUCAUUUUGCUUUCUAGCCCAAUCAACACAAAUAGCCAGACAAUCCGAGCUUACUCUGUCUGCAUCACUCUUAGCAUCGUGAACUUGACUUAGACCAUCAUGUAUUUGCGAAAGCUCUGAAAGAACCUCAGAAAUAUCUUUAAAUAGUUUUUCCUCCUGCUUAUGGUCUAGAGUAUACGAAUGACUCACAUUGUGAAGAGUUUCUCUUGAUUCUAAAGCUGGGAAAACAAUAUCAUCUUCAGCAUUACUAUGAGCUCUAUACAAGCCCCACAAUAAACGAAAUCUACCGAUGAACUGCCGAAGGGAAUUUUCAUCACAAUCUAUAAGCUUUCCAGAUUCUACAUCCAUGUACUCCAGAUCCUUGCGAAUUGCUUUAUGAAAUUUGAAUAUAGCAUCAAUAGGCUUUACAGAGUUAACUGGAUCUGAUGACACAUUGUCCGAGUCCCAGCAAAAUAGACUGGAAUACAGUGAAGGAGCAGAAGCCAAUGAGCGAAUCCCUAGAUUGCUGCUAUCUACUCCUAAACCAGGUACACAGCAUGGCUUCUUGCCGCACUGGCGUCUUUGAAAUUCAGCAGUUUCUGAAUUGGCAACACCAAGUGGAUACACACUAGGUUCGGAGAAGUUUCCUCGUUUUACUGGCCUAACAUCAGUGCCAGAUCUUACAAGUGGAACAUCAGUCUUGGAGAUAAGAGGACAUGCACAUGCACAGAAUGCCUGACAUUCCUCCACUUCAUUCAUAUCGUCUAACGAACAGCCAUUAGCCGUGGAUGUCAAGCAUAUGAACUUGCCAUUGUCAGAAGUGUCCUGGGAACGACCUUUGCAUGCCCAACCAGAUAAGAGAGUGACAAGUGCAGUUUCAGAUGAUGAAGCUGCAUGAGAUAACAGAGCAUUGUAUUAUACAACAUGUAUUACAAGACAAACAAAGAGGUGAUAAAAUAAAUUCAAACCUGCAAGAUGCAUGUUUUGAAGAAAAGACCUUGCCUCUUCAUCGCUCAGCUUUGAUACAAGCCAUGGUAAUACCCGCUCUAACAAUUUUAAGGGCAUUACACAUAUACUUUUGUACAGAAGUUCCCGCUGCUUGUCAGGAGAGAAAUGCAUCCUAGCUAGAGGAAGAACCUAGAAGAAAAAAUGUGUAUAUUGAGAUCCCUUUCAUCGGUUUUUGUGAAAUAAUAACUAGAAUAAUAUUAACAAUACUGGACCUACCUCGGCUUCCUCACUGUGGAAGUGCUUCUGAAUCGUCUCCAUUAUUUGAUCAGCAUGGGAACACAACUCUGCAUAAAAUUCUGCACUAGUUGAUUCAGCUCCUGCUCUCUGGAUUCUUUCUAUCAAACACCUAAAUUUGUUAAAUUGAGUUUCUUCUUCAGCAUGCUCCUGAACAAAAGAAACCUCCCCAUCGACUGCUGGAAAUAUUACUUGAUCCUCUGCAAUACUGCACACAAAAACACACUUACGAGUUAAAAGAACAGUAGAUAUAUUAUGGAGUGAUUCAACUAAUCUAUGAUAAUCUCUUCAAAAGCCAUGCACCCAAGCCUAAUUCAUUAUAACUAUUUUACUUGCAUACUUUCUGAAUGGAGCAGUGGAGCUAGACAUGAUCAAUGUGCUCCAUCAAUGAGAAAUACAAAUACACUAUUCCUCUGUGUAGUUCGUAUUCUGCUUAAUAAUGAUUCACUUGUUAGUUCUAACUAAAUCUACUUACGCACAAAGACACAUAAAAUAAAUAUAAGGGUAUGUGUCACAGAUGAACACAUUAAAAUAAUGUAAACAUCUCUUAUAUUCCACUCAGAACAAUUCCAUAAAAAAUAAGUAGCAAAGCUCCUGAAGAUGCUCAUUGGAAAUCAAGAUACUGGAUAUUCAUAAUCACAAUGAGAGACCAUUUUCCAUGUUCAUUUGCUGUGAAGCACCUAGGGUCAUACAAGAUAAUAAACCAAGACGUAAAUAGAGAAAAAGCAGGGCACAGCAUCAAUUAAGGCCUUGUUUGGCAUCAUUUGUCUUUUUUUUGUUUUUAAAAUAGAAUUUCUACAUAAAAUAGUGUAGGCGGAUGUCUGAUUGAUUGCAAUCCUUACAUCCAAGGUGUUUGUUCGGCAACAAGAGACAAAAACUUGGAAGCAACUCCCUUUUUGCUUCCAAGAUUUUUUUUUUUUAAGGUGGUCAUCCAUCAUUUGGCCAGGAUAUAUUACAAGCUAUCCAACUCUGACAACAAGAGGAAAGUCCAUCCACCAAUAUAUCAUUAUAUAGAAUUAGUGUUAAAAAAAGCAAAAAGCAGCAAUGAUGCCAAAUGAGGCCUAAAACUGUUAGUUUCCACUAUUUUGAGUCAACUUGGCAUCAAUCAUUAGCCUAAGAAGUUCCUCAAACCAACUAAAUUUGUGUCCUUUCUCGAUGCAUUGUUGUUAAUUUUCAUCUUCUGUCCACAAGGCUCCUUUUAUUCAAGAAAAAUCACCUUAUUCAAGAAAAUCACCCCUCUUCACUUGCCCACUAAAAUAGUCACCAUUGCAUCUGUCCAAACCAACUCAAACUGUCUUCAUGCAACUUAAAACCGAUAGGCACCACAUUAAAUGUGUCAAAGUACAUGAAUUUCAUUUUUUUUCCCCUUCCUUGGAAGACCAUAAAACUAAAGGAAAACAAAGAUAGGAAAAAAAUUUCAAAAGAAGCAUUUCUGCAAUGGAAGUACAAAUAGCAAGACAAAAAAAUGUCUUACGGUCAGUGGAGUUAAAAAGUAAGGCAAAGAAAAGAACUUGUGUCGAAAAGGCAAACAAGAAUUGUACCUAUGGAAAAUGCAUACAUCAGCAAUAAACUGAAGUCUCAUAUUGAAGACAGAUAAAUCAGAAAAAUCUCCAGAACUUUGUAUCUUUCUUGCCUCUUCUGCUAUCUCAUUCAGUUCUAAUCUGAUUGCAUUAUGCCAAUGCAAUAUUUCAUCUAUUGGGUGCACCCUAAUAUUGUCUGAAGAGCUGCUUUCUGAAUCUUUGAGUUUCCUCUUUCCAAUCCUGGAAUACGCAUGCGGACACAUAUGCUUAUCGGGGUAAUCCAUGGACAAAACAGUCCCACCACUAGAAGAGUUCUCGGUUUGAUCUUUCACCUUAUUGAUUGUUCCUUUACCUUCCAUCCAAGUGAAUAUAACCUACAAUAUUCAACUAGAAGUUAAAUGCAUUAUGGCCCAGUCAGAUAAAGAAAAGGAACAGUAAUAAUUAUCAAUACCUGCUGAAGAAGCUUUUCUUCUGGGAUUAUCUUGCACAAAGAUUUGAGCAUAUCUUGAUGUUCAUCAGGUGAAACACAAGCUGAAAGCCACGGAAGGAAUUCUACCAUCAUGUUCACAGGAAUAUUACACAAGAACUGCCAAACCAAAUCAGCUUGCUCUUCAAACGAGAACUUCUCAAUCAGCAAGGGGAAGACCUGAAACAUUUGAACUUUUAGCAGUGAUCAAUAUUUGCAUGGAAUGCUUCAUAGGUGGAUUUAAGAUAGGAUAACUUAUAAAUACCAUAGCAAAGUAACAUGGCAUCAAAUAUCAAUUGAACAAAACAUUAAGAAAACAUCAAGUUGAGAAUAAAAUGAUAAGUGGGAGCCACCUGAGAGGAAAAAAGUAGAAUGAAAUGAUGUGAAAGAAAGCACGGCGUACACCUUCCAAAAAGCCUUAAACAAGUUGAGAUACAAGUUCCAACGUGCUGUUGUAAAGACCAAUAUCCUACUACAAUAAUGUUUCAUUACAUCAUGACUUGGCAACAUGCUGUAUAGUUUGAAUUUCGCUCAGAAAAACAAAAAUAUGCUAAUUGCUCCUAAAAAUGAUCCGACAGCUGAUGAAAUUUCUAACAAAAUAGAGCUGAGUUUCUGUGGCAUAUCGGACCUUCGUAGAUUGGCAAGGUUACCAUAUGCAGUGAUGGUUGGCACUUCUGUAGAGUGUUGGACUAAGUUGGAGCCAUUUUUGCACAAAAUAAACAGGAAAAUGGACUCUAAAGACUGACCUCAGCUGAAACUAAGUCCCAGAGCUUUUUCGAACGCAAGGGAGCGGUUUAGGGCACCCGAAAGUGGAGAGCUGAGAAGCAGGAGGAUCCUAAUGGUGAUUUCAGAUGCCUAUUACUGCUGUAGCUGAGCCCAGAAGAGUGAGUCACCGCUCACACCACGUAUUGAAUGCCUAGAAGUUACUGUAGCACCCCAAAUAAUUGGAUAAGUGCAACUGAAUGACAGAGAUAAAGCGGAAAGCAGGUGAGUCACUGUAGAGUUUCGGAUGCUUGGUCCGGGCGCUCGAAAAUGUGUGAGCGAUGCUUCAAUGGGUUCGAGCCGUCGAAUGUAAAGUGAGGACGUCUGAGAAUCUACGGCUUUGUGUCAAACGCCCGAAUGUGGUUCCGAGCGCCUGAAACCUGUAUUUUGGCCUGACGUUGAUUUCUGAAAAAUUGAAGGGCUUCCUUGCCAUUGUUUCCAGCCUAUUUAUAGUCCAGCGGAGCUCAGCUUCUUCUCUUUUCAUUCUUGUUGAUCUGAGCCUUUUCCUUCUCUGUUUCUCUCUCCUUCUCCUUGGCAUAGAUUAGGACCCUGGUUGGGAGAGCCCAGAAGGUGAUUGCUCACCUUAUUGAUGGUCUUCUGAGGACCUUAGAGGCAUUCUUAGCUAACUGAGGCAGUGGGGUGAGGAGUGUGGAUGAUCCUUACUGAGGCCUUUGGUGGAAUUUGAGGUCAAUAAAAUUUGAGCUUAUAGUAUGAAGUGCAAUUUUAGUUGAUUCUUGAUGUAGCAGUGAAUUUUGUUGGUUAAGAGUUGAGUUUGAGCUUCCUUAUUGAAUUAUUGGUGUUGAGGAGGAGAUGUUGAGCGUGUUCCUUUUCCACCUUCUUCGGAGUUGAUCCAGGUGGGUUCCAUGUCGCCGAAAAUGGCAACUAACUCCUAUGUCUAUUUUGCAUGAUUUAGUCUGUUGAGAUGGUCCGUUGAUAUAGUUGAGAUGACAGUAGUGAUUUAGACACCUACCUAUUGAGUUGAUUAUACUCUUGAACUAUACAUGAUUGCCUAUAUUUUCCUUAUGUGAGAUUUGGUAGAGAUAAAUACCCUAUCAGUAUGUGGAGCUGUAUACAGAUAUAUUGUGUUUUCACUACUAGAGAUUUUAUUGCCUGAUUAUACAUGAGAUGAGCAAAUUGGAAAAAAUGCCACGGGACAGUGGAUAGUAAUAUUCGGUAAGACUAUGAUUGUGCCAGGGGCACCUGGACAGUAUGAUUAUGAUCUUUUUUAUCACUGCAUUUGACUACAGCCUGCAUAAGCUACAUUGAGCUUGACAGAGAUAUUGUGAUAUGAUACUCGGUGGAGUCACACCCCUCGAGUGCCCCUCCGGAGGCUGGCGGCUGAUAUAGUUGCGCUAGACAGCUCGUAUGUUGACGAACCACUGGUGAGAGUGGGGAUCGGGCAUCGGGCGAGCGCAAGCUUGACCGGACUUAUGAGUCGGUCGAAGUGAUUGGGUUAUGCAGCAUUGCUUUAUUCGGUUAUUUUUACUUAAUGCAUACAUUAUCUGAUUUACAGCAUUCAGCAGUAGUAUAGAGGCAUGAUAGUAGUAAUUUACUUUCAGCUCAGUCAUAUCCUGUUAUUCUUACAGUUCAGUUUACUAUUUUUGCUUCUAGUAAACUUAGUAGUAUAGGUCGUCGUUGUCGUCGACUGUAUCCAGUGGAGGCUACUGUUCACUAGUUCUCACGACCUCUUUUGUUGUUUGUCUUUUCAGAGCUCUCAGUGCCAGUGUCUAAUUGAGGUAAGAGGUUUGCGAGCUAAAUAGUGUCCUCUACCCAACUGUACAUUGCCUAGAGGAGGACCACUAGUGCGUAAUUAGUACAGCAGGCUGUCCUUAUGUAUCAAGUUGGAGAGACCAGUGGGAGUAUUGUAUAUUUCUUUAUCAUCAGUUGGAUGGAUGUUGUAUACAGUGAUGACUAUACUUUUGUAGAUGUUCAUAGACUCUGAAACAUGUUUUAUGUCUAUACAAACUCCUGUUAUUUGUGUUUGAGUCAGAUGGUUUGUGGACGCUUCAUAUGUGCGGGGAUGGUGGGUUUGUUAGCAUACCCGGGGGCUUCCGCUGUGGCCCCGGGCAUGACAAUUUCUUGCUAACAAAUUUCAGAGUUAGCUAAGUAAAAGGCAAAAACUAAGCAUAGGUUAGGAAAUGUAUCUACACAGUGACUAUUCUCGCAAAGAGAUGUCCAAGCGCACAGCAAGUCUAAGUUCAUUUAACUAGAAAGCAAGAUGCCACGAGGAUGCUGCACAGUCAACCAGCCAUAUUUAAAUGCUAGUCAAUCUAGUAAUCAUCAGCAUGAUGAUUGCAUCAUUUUCUACAAAUUUUAGCAGUUCAAUCUUUUUAAUUUACAAUGGGUUGGGGAAGAUUUGUUAUUAGUCAAAAUAAUUUAGGUUUCCAUCUAUAUAGCUAUUUAUAUGAUUCUAAAUUCUUUUUAAAAAGACUUACUUCUACAACUUUGAAUGAAUUUAGCCCACGAACAUAGGAAGAAAACCAAUGGACUUAAAUUAUAAAAUUGAUUUGGCGAUUUAACACCAAUUUCCCACUUUACCUCAUCUUCCUGUCUAAAAAUUGAUUCUUUCCACUACUACGGAACAAAAACUUUCUUCCAUCUAAUCUUAAUCUUAAUUAUGUGUCGUUUCCAAUUGAACAUUUAUCAACUAUAUUCCAGCCUAUUCACUCACAAUAACUCUUCAUGCCUGAGGUUUUAACUGAAAUAGAAAAAGGGAACUGAUCGUUGCUACUGAAAUAGAAAAAGGGAACUGAUCAUUUCUUCAAAGUGGCAAUGCUCUCAUAUAAAUCAACUGCCAAAACCCAUGUAUCUACGAAAAUCAUCAGAUGAUAGAACAUUGUAGAAUAUGAGCAUAUUAUUUGCCUAGUAAUGCCAGAAGUAUAGGUCCACUCAGACUGGUAAAUUUGUCUAUAACAUGAAUGAAUUGAUUGAAAAACCAUGGAUUCUAUAGUUCACAAGGACAGAUCAAUUACAUUUAACAAACAUAAAAACCAACACUGCAAACAAUUCAAAAACUAAAAUUUACCUGCUCCUCUUCCUUCGACAUGUGUUGGCUAAGAGAUGUUUGAAUGGCUCGCGUGCAUGAUGCAAGUUCUCGUCGAAAACCAUCAUUAUUUUGCACAUCAAGAUGUAAUAGAUCAAACAACUGAUUAAAAAGAUCACUUUCUCCUUUAUGCUCAAGCGAAUACGUCCUAGCAACAUUCUUAACGCGUAUGUCGAGAGCAGGAAAGAUAACCUGCAAUUGUUAAAGCAAUUAUUUUAUUACACAUAUAUCCAAAUUAAUGCCAAAAGAACAAAUGUGUUAUUAUAUUAUUCAGCGCUCUUUUAGAUCAUUCUUUCAUUUCGAAGAAGAAACACUCAUAUUACUAAGUCUAUGUUUGAUAACAUUACAGUUAGUCGAAGCUCUGUUGCAAACUUCUGACGUAGAAAACAUUACAAUUCAGCUUUCAAAAUAUAUAUAUGAAAGACACCUCUCUCAUUUUUGACUGCCAAACUUGAAAAGAAAAAAAAAAUUACAACUCAAUUGGUACUGCAGGGUUAAUUGGAGGAAUAUACUUUAUCAGUGUUAUCCGCAAUAAAGUAAGGGGGGAAAGACUUCAAUUCUAAAAGACACAAAGUACCGAUUCUUUUUCACUUUCUUCCUUAACAAGAUACCAUUCCACAUCCAACCAGAGUGCAUCACAAGCUACACGACAACAACAAGGACGGAGAACUACAUUCACCAGCGCAUUCCCGCAUGGAAUUUGGGUUUCAAACAAAAAAAGAAAGAAAGAAAGCAAUAAAGUCGUGGCAAACGAGGCAUAAACAAAUAUGGAUGUCUGGUAGCCAGUUCAGCAUAACAACGCAUCUUCGAGAAACAGGAGGCAAAAACAAACAGGAUGAAGCAUGUCGUCAAAUCAGAUAAUCUCUAAAUUUUAACCUACCGAAUUUCGACAGAAUAUCAAUAAUAAACAAGUUUAAAAACAAGAAUUUAAUAAACAAGUUUAAAAACAAGAAUUUUGACAUACCACAUCAUUUACGACAACAAUAGUUUUCAAUCACAGAUUCUGCUGCAAUACAGUGCAGGGAGGCAAGUUGAACCUUAUUCACCCUC